AUUUGGGGCCAUGGCCCCCAAUCCUGCCCCUUGUGUUGGCCUUGAUGGCACUCCUGCUCCUUGGAGUGGCCUCAGAGGCACCGUUGAAGUAGGAUCAGUAGGGGAUGAAUUCGGCAUAGCUGGGGUAGGCGCAGGGGAAGAAGUUGGCAGAGACGGAGAGAGGGAAGAAGCUAGAGGGGCCGGCAGCACAGAGAAGGAAUUUGGCGGCGGCGGCAGAGACAGAGAGAGGGAAGAAGUUGGAGGAGCCGUCAACGUAGAGAAGGAAUUUGGCGGCGGCACAGACAAUGGAGAAGCUGCAGGGGCCGACGGCGAAGGGGAUAACGUUGUCUUCAUUCCAAGGCGGCUGCCACCGUGCCCUUUCCCUCCUUUGCCGCGUGACCUGGAGAUCUGAUGGCCGGCAUCCAUGGCGGAGGUCUUCGCGCGUGCCAGGAGCUCCAGACUCGUCUAUUUGUGGAAUAGGGUUUGGUGCAUAGGGCAAAUGGAGAAGAUGGCACACACGAUGAAGGAGAAAGAAGAAAGCGCGGGAGGAAUUGGCACACGCCGCCUGGUCGCUUGGAGCACGGAAUCGAUGGGGAUAGCUCGCUCGUUUCGUGCUGUCGUGCGGUUACCAAGGACUUGGUAACUAAGCUCGCUCGUCUCGUGGCCACGACACAACCUCCUUCUCUCUCUUGGUUGUUUCAUGCAAAGAUUCUAUUUUUCUACUGAUGUGGGCCUUGUUUAGUUUCAAAAGAAUUUGUAAAAAAAUUUAGACUUCCAGUCAUAUCGAAUCUUACGGCAUAUACAUGGAGCAUUAAAUAUAGAUACAUGAAAUAACUAAUUAUAUAGUUUAUCUGUAAUUUGUGAGAUGAAUCUUUUAAGCCUAUUUAGUUUAUAAUUGGACAAUAUUUGUUAAAUAUAAAUGAAAGUGUUACCGUGUCUAUUUUGUUAAAUUUUUUAAAACUAAACAAGGCCUAAAUGUGUAUGAUAUCCGAUCAAAUUUUCAUCUAGACUCGUCUGACACGGGAAGCUCGGGCGGCGCAGCGUGUAGGGUCGCUAGGCUGCGUCGGAUGCGGGAUUGGACCGUGCGUGCGCCAGGACAACGCCACGGCCGGCUCUAGUGGCAAAUCGUUAUCUGUUUCCUCGUCUUCUCCAUUUCAUCCCAGCCACCACUUCCCGCCAUGCCGCCACCGCCGCCGCAGGGUCCAGCUCCCUCCCACGCUGGCCGCGCCAACCUCUUCUCCGCCCCGCCGCCUGCCCUCUCCAACCGCCGCUACCCCAGUCAGCGGUCCCUGCCCCUCCCGCCCGUCCCCCCUCGCCGCCGCGACCCCAAGAACCACCGCCCGCAGCCUUCCCAAGAGGAAGAACGACCGACAGACAGCGGUCCAAGGAGAACGGCUGCCACCAACCCGGCCUUCCGCGCGUCCCACCUCCGUACCGCGUACCGCAAGCCCGUGCCCCCAGCCGCAGCCGCCGGCGAAGGCGAGGCCCUCCUCGCCGCCGACCCAACCGACGCCGCCUCGGGGCGCGCCGUCGUCGUGGGUCCCUCGGGCCUCUCCUUCCGCCUCCCCGGCGCGCCGUUCGACUUCCAGUUCAGCUACUCCGAGGGGCCCCGAGCCCCGCCGCUCGCCAUCCGGGAGCCGGCCUUCGUGCCCUUCGCGCCGCCGACCAUGCCGCGGCCCUGGACGGGCAAGGCGCCGCUGCUGACUAAGGAGGAGAAGGCGCGCCGCCGGGGCGUGCGGCUGCACACGCCGCUCGGGCAGGAGCCGCCGCAAACGGUGAGCGCGCACGGGAUCAUGAUGGAGGUCAGGGACAGGAGGCAAAUGGACCUGGCCAGGGUCAGCCCCGGUGAUGGCAGAAGCAGGGAGGAGGUGCUCGGUGAGCCGCUCACCCCAUCUGAGGUGCGCGCGCUCGUCAAGCCGCACAUUUCACACAACCGGCAGCUCAACAUUGGUAACAACUGCACUGCCAUUUUCAAGAGAGAAUCUGAUUAUUUUUCCUGCCUUUAUAUUCGUUCAGACUUAGAUUAAACUCAAAUGGGCCAAUGUGGAGAGCAUAAUGAGAUAAUUUAGUGGCAUGAGAACAAACACAUCUGGAGUUAAGUUUGAUGAAAGGUUUUUUUCGGUUGCACUGUAAGGUUAAAAAUAUGGAUUGUAGCACAACCAUGGUAUCUGCCUACAAAUUCAGUCAAUUGUUACUUUGUUAGGAAACUCUGAAACGAUAUAGCAAUGUUUUUCAUACAUGAAACGGGAACAUGUCAAUUGUGUCCCUUCAACUCUUCUCAGGGUUUUAUUGUGGGCCAAUUGCAUACCUCUUUGUACCAUUUUUAUGAACUUGCCAUUUGAGAAGUCAUAAUUGCAUAGUUGCCACCAAAAGCGCUGGUCAUCAAACCCACCACUUGAUUAUCAAACUAAAGAAAUGUCAUCAUCAGACAAUUCCCCCAUUUUUCUCUCUCCUCCCUUCCCCAUCAGCACACUGAUGGCAUCACGUCAUGGUGUUCCAUUUCUUCAGUCCAAGAAUCCUCCUUAUCACUCCAUCUCCAUGGUUACCAUUGCAACUUCUGGACAUAGGGUUGGACGGGCAGGUAGCCAGGAGCUGAGGGCACCAGCUAGGGGGACUUGUGCCAGAUUAGGUUAGCUCUUGCUCGUCAGCAGUGGAGGGCCGAGGAGUUUGGGCAUUGGGUGGCCUCCCCAUCCUCCUAGCUCGCCUCCCCAUCCUCUCCAUCCUCCUUGCUGAUCUUCUAUUCGUUCUCAAGUCACUGUCCACCAUGCAAGCUCAUCAGCACCUCCUCACCGAGUCACCAUCUCCUGCUCCUCCUUCUUCCAAUCCUCCACGGUGUCAUGAUGGCUGCAGUGCUGUAGAUGCAAGCAGCAGCAUUGGAGGUGCUCGCACCAGAGGUGGGCCGUGGGGACACUGGGAUGGGGAGGAGGGGUCAGCACCACGUAAGAGAAAGGGGGCUGCAAUCGCGAAAGAAAGGAAGCAUCAGAAAGUAUAUGCCCAGGGUUAAUUUGGUAAUUCCAGAUAUGAUUUUCUGUACGUAUUUUCUGAAAUGUUUUUGCACCUAUUGGAUAACAUUAUCUAACAGAAGUUAAACUAGUGACUCUGGAGGGGAUUCCAGUGGUAGUUUUCCAGUAGAUGUUUUUUUAAUGGCAAAUAUCAAAUAGGAGUCAAAUCAGUAGCAAAUAUGCAUUUUGUCCUUUUAAUUAUUGUCACUCCUCUGCAGCUGGCACACCUGCUAUCAGCAGUGUUUUGAUUUGCUGGUCCCGAGAAAGAACACCACUGUGUUCAAGCAGGAGGUUGCCAGCAAUAAAGGCAGUGAGAGUUGUUUUAGCUCGUCUGGAUCCAACUUGCGGGCCAAACUUGGUAGGGAGGGAUGGGUCCUCACUCCUGACUGGUGUUCAGAGUUGGAGUUGUAUGGCCCUGUAUUGCAGAGAGUCGAGGGACAAAGUUAAAUCUUCUUUUCUUUUUGUCGCAAAGCUAAAUCUUAUUACUGAUGGAGUUUAGAGUUAAAUAUCAAUUUCCUGAACAAUUUCCUGUAGGAAGAGAUGGCUUGACUCACAACAUGUUGGAAAUGAUACAUUGUCAUUGGAGGCGCCAGGAAAUCUGCAAAGUUAGAUGCCGAGGCGUUCCAACUGUUGAUAUGAAGAAUCUCUGUUAUCAUCUUGAGGUAUCUAUAUUUAGUUUGCUACUGUAUAUAAAUUUGCAUUGUACACAUUCACAUGUGUUAAUAUAUCCCCCAGGCAUAUGGACAUGCAUUCUGUAGUACAAAGCAAAAGAUUUCCAUUGAAUCUAUUUUUCUAAAAUUUGUAUCUUUCUACUGUACUACAAAAUGUGGCAUCCAGUAUACAAAAGUGCCUUUUUUCAAAAAGAAAAUAUUUCAAAAUAGUGAGAUCAUGUUCCUUUUUGUUUCUGUUUUGAAUUGCACGAUAACUCAAAUGACACUCAAUUAUAAGAUGUUUUAGUUUUCUAAAUACAUUGCUUUUACUAUGUAUCUAGACAUAGUGUAUAUCUAAGUACAUAGCAAAACCUAUGUAACUAGAGAAGUCAAAACGUCUUGUGAUUUGGAAUGGAGGGAGUACUUUCAUAAGAGUUGUUUGAAACUUUUAGGAUCAUAGAAAGGAGCAAAAGUUGGGCUUGCUAAUAUUUUGCCUCUUGUUUAUAGAACACCAUAUAUUAUUCUUUUCCUUUAGUGUGAGGAUUUAAGAAAAUAGGGCAAUAGUAUGAAUACCAAAUCUUGAAAACAACAGUGUACUAAUGAACUAAUAAUAUUUUAAUCAGACCAGUGUAUGAGUUAAGGACUAUGAAGAGCUUCUCUAUUGUUAGGGAUGUGUACUUGUUGGCCUCUCAUGGAACAAGACCUCAAUCGUCAUGUAUGUAUGCUUAUGUGUUUUUGACUUUAUUAUAAUGCAUUGUCAAAUAUAAUAACAUCUAUUAUGUUCCAGGAAAAGUCAGGUGGAAAAGUCAUUCACCGAGUAGGUGGCGUUGUUUUUGUGUAUAGAGGAAGACAUUAUGAUCCGAAGACCCGUCCUCACUAUCCACUAAUGCUCUGGAAACCUGCGACUCCUGUGUAUCCAAAACUCAUCAAAGAAGUUCCAGAAGGGCUUACAAAAGAAGAAGCAGAUGAAAUGAGAAGGAAAGGGCGUGAUCUUCUGCCAAUCUGUAAAUUAGGUAUUAAGUUACUGAUCAACUUUAUUCCUAUUCUUAUUGAUUCCUCGCAAAAAAAAAAAAAAAAAAAAAAAAAAAAAACUUUUUUCUUAUUGAUGAUUGCUCUAGUAUGUUUGAAAUCUGGAUGGCCUUCUUAUUCGAUUUGUUUGUUUACAGGUUUCGUAUUUCUGGAAUUCGAAGCAGUAUAUGAAAUGACCUAUUUAGAGCAGGAACCUUAAUCCUGUUAUACACCAUGUACUAGAAUACUAGAUUACCUUUCAAGCCUAACCUAGUACUGUAAAUACAAACCUAAUUGUGAAGGAUAGGACUUUAACAGGGCCCCAGAUUUUAUAUUUUGUUGUAUAUAUGUUUACAAGAUUUUGUACCAUGUAUGUCAUGCACAUGUGGGAUGUGGCUGCUGGCUACUGGUUACCGCUAAGAUUUUUUUUUCUACCUGUCUCUAGUUCUACCGACCAAAAAUGCUAGUCCCUACUUUAGAAAUAGAUGACCCAGUUUGAACUGUUAAACUUCAGUAACUUUGAACGGUGAUUGGUUCGAUUGUUUAGAUUUUUCGUGUGAAAACAAUACCGUUAGAGAGGCAAUAAGUACUUAAAAAUAUAUAGCAUUUUUACUAUUUUGACUAAUGCAUGUUUGUUUCUACUAAAGGGCUGCUGCUGCAGCAGCUGUACACCUGUGCACCAGUGUGUGCAGCUGCAGCUUCAGUCAUUGCUGCUGAUCUGAACAGGCCCAUAGUGCUAAACUGAUUGUCAAAACUGCUCACUGGAAGGAUUGCAUGCUUUUUACUCUGUAUUUAAGGUACAGAGAACAACACAUGCUACUGAUGAUGUAUCUUAUCUUGUAUUUUUCUAAUUUUUUAGCCAAAAAUGGAAUAUACAUCACUCUUGUCAAGGAUGUGCGAGAUGCUUUUGAAGGAAAUGACCUUGUGAAGAUUGACUGUGAGGGUUUGAAUCCAAGUGACUACAAAAAGAUUGGAGCGAAACUAAGGGUUCUAUUCACCCUCAUGAAUUUCUCAGUUUUCAUUUCAUUACUUGUAGUGAAAGUGAAUCCUUUACAUACCUUCUUUCCAGCCCACUUAGCUAAAAUUGCUUACUUCUAUAUAUGCAGGAUCUUGUUCCCUGUGUUCUUUUAUCAUUUGAUGAUGAACAGAUAUUAAUGUACAGAGGCAAAGAAUGGAAAUCCAGAUACUCGAAGCCUCUUACUCUCAUUCCGAAAGUUCCAAAGAAUAAUCUGGCAAUGUCAUCUGACAUGAAUAGUUCAGGUAUGCUUUGUUAACUCUUAUAAUGAUUACCUUGGUCUUGCUUCUUUCAUAUCCAUGCUCAUUUUUAUUUAUAAUAGCAGUUUUGGUGAUUAGGUUUUUAUGAGCUCCUCAUUUUGUAAUCUCUUCCUGCACUCAUUUAUCAUAUUCAUGUGUUUUGCUCAAACAUACACUCAGAUGUGUUGCAUGGAAAAUAUAGCUGCUCUUUAGACCAGUGCCUCCAGUUAAUUUUAUAUUAUUGGUUGCACUUCCUGGAUCAAAAUAACAAGGCAACUUUUUUCCAGAUACAGAUGAAGUUAGUGAUGCCAACACUCAAGUUGCGAUAAGAGAAGUAUUGAGACCCAAAAUGUUUAAAUUAUGGAAGAGUGCAGUGGACUCAUCUCUAGCAUUGCUGCUGGAUGACGCUGAAGCAAAUGAUCUCACACCCGAUUCACUGCUGACUUUGGUUGAGGAGUUCAGCGUGACAUCUCAGGCAGUCGAGCACUCAUUCCCUGCUCUGCUUGUGACCAAUGGUGAGGUGAACACCGAAUCUCUAAGUGCAGAAUACAUAAAUGAUGAUGAGUCUGAAACAAGCAUUGCUGGAAACGAAGAGGGCCAGCUCGAGCAGUCACCUGAUCUCUCUGGCGAUGAACAUUUUGAGCUUGACAUGCUUGAGCGUCUGGAGUCAUCUGUGCCAUUGGGAUCGCUGCCGAUUGACGGCAUGAUAGAGCAGCUGAACAGUGAGUGAACUACGAUGAGCAGUUCAUUCUGUCCAUUGGGGUAACUACUGAUGAUCAGAUUGCAACCUCUGAUUGCAACCUCAGUCUGAUGAUGAUCUCAAUAGCUGAGAAUUUUCAGCGAUUUGGUAGCAAACAUGAUGUAAAGAAAAUAAUUGUAGCGGAUGGGCAUGUGGCCCAGUGGUGAAGGCUCCAAGAGAGGAGCCGGCCCGUGGGGGUUUGAUCCUCCGUCCCGCAUCUGCCCUCCUGUGAAGGGCGCACCAGGUGGUGCUUUCUAAAAAUAAUAAUAAUAUAAUUGUAGUAUAAAAAUGCACUAACUGAUCACACGUAUCAUUGUCACCAUCAAUGAGUGUGCUUGCAUGUAUAUGAAUAUUUUAAAUUUUUUAUACGUUGUUUACCAAAAAAAUAUAGUGGGUGAUUCUUCUGCAAAUUUUGAAUAUUUUUCAAAAUAAGGAAUCGAUUUAUGGUUCAGAAAAUUUUAGGGAAAACCCACCAAAGAGGAAUCAAGAAAGCUACCUUUUGAAAUAAAUGAAAGCAUCCUCUCUGAUCUCUAGUAGCCAGUUACACACCAUGGGACUAUGGGAAUCCUUGGAGUUGUAAAAAAUAAAAAAAAAUGAAUUCUGCAGAUGCUCUAACUUUGUUUUCCCCAAAAAGGGUGUAGAAGGCCUCAAUAUAUCUGAGGAUAUGGUGAAACAAAAAACGUAAACGAAAUAAAAUGUACUCCCUCCAUCUCAAAUUGUAAGUCAUUCCAAGAAUCUUGGAGAGUCAAAGUAUUUUCAUGUUUAAUCAAAAUUAUAGAGAAAAAUACUAAGAUUUGUAACAUAAAGUGAGUAUACUAUGAAAAUAUAAGGACUAUAUGCUAAACUUUUACCUACCUCUUGCCCUCAUUUGUCUACCAUUAUUUCUUCCUUUCGGUUGAGAGAUCCUUUUUGGAGAUUAAUGCCAAAGGGGGAGAAAUAUUGGGAGAGAGUGUAAGGGAGGAGAGAUUGAUAUGUGGAUUGAAAGGGGUAAAGGAGAGGCAUAUAAGAUUUUUCAAAUUUUUGUGUGGUGUGUGCAAGGAUAGUUUAUGCUCUUGAUAAGGACUUUUUAUGUUAGUGUGAAAUGUUCUUGACUUGAAUGGUGGUUGCCUUUAUUUCUGUGCUGCUCUGGCAAGUGCGGCAGUGCCGUCCUCCUAGUACGGCAGUGCCGCCCUCUGCUGGCCAGCAAACUUUGAGUGCAUGACCUGCCAUGAGCAUCACGUUUAUCAUGUUGACACCUUGCACCCCACGGAUGCUAAGAUAUAGAAGAGUUCCCACACUUCAUCUUGAAUAUGUGCAUUUGGCAUUUGAGGCCAAAACUUGAAAUUCUAUUCUAUGCACAUAUUUAAGGGGAGCUCACUAUAUCACAGGAUUCAAAAUCUUAAUGUUUAUCAAUCUCUUGUAAGCUUUAAUUGUGUUGUCAUCAAUCACCAAAAAGGGGGAGAUUGAAAGUGCAUCUAGCCCUUUGUGGGUUUUGGUGAAUUGAAUGACAACAUGAUUAAAGGUCUAAUAAGUUUGUUAAGUGUUGAACAGGAUAUUGAGUCUAUUGCACAUACUUGUGGAUUGUGUAUUAACAAGUAUGUUCAAGGCUCAACAAGCAGGCAAACUUGAUGAUAUGCCACAUAGUGUUGAAAUGAAGGCCAAAUUGUGUAUUGUUGUAUUAAAGGAUUAUGGAAACAAUCUAGGUCAAGCAAAAGACAACAAUGCAAAUAAAAUCUAUGGAAUGGCUUACAUGCUGUGGGAUAUCAUAACAUCAUGAGAAAGCAAGCAUAUUUGACAAAUGGCAAAAGAGACAUGAGUUGAUGUUCUUGGAUUGGUGUCUACAAUGGCUUGCUUUUCAUGAACAAGAAAAGCUUGAUAGUGAACUAGGUUUGAUCAAGCUAGAAGUAUGAAGAUCAAGAUUGAAGUGAGUAUUGAGUGUCAAGCCAAAAUAGAGAGGAUAUAAGGAACUAUGAAUUGGCUUGAUCAUAUUGAUGCUGAUCCAUAUAUGUCUCUAUGUGAGUCAAACUGAAGCUUGAUUGAUCUCAAUAUUUAUAUCUAGAAGAUAUUCAAGCAAGGAUCACAAUAUUGAAGAAAUGAUUAUUCAAUGGAUACUUAAUGUGAUAUGACUUGAGUAUGGCUUGAUAAGGUGAAGAUAGUAAGGAAAGGGCUUCGAGGGACUAAGCAGAGGUGAAGGGAUAAGCGACGGCUUAAGGACCGAGGUACCAUGGCUAAGGUGAAGAAGAGAGUACUUGCAUUGAGUCGAGGAACUAAUCAAGCUAUGAGGAGUCAUAUUGUGUUGAGAAUCAAAUCUUUAGUAGAAGUGACUUGAAUCCAUGGAGGUGAACUCAUAUGUGUUGAAAUGGGUCAAGUCACAUGCUCAAGGUGUGUUUGCUCAAGAAAAGGAGACAAAGUUGAUUGCAACCCUUUAUGUAGUAAUAUUGAGAAGAAAUGGCAUAUGAAGACAUUGAAGACUCAAGUGAUCAAAUUAGUUAUAUUCUCUUGUUCUUGAGUAUAGGUAUGCCGUACUAUCAAGGGGGAUGCAAUACGAAUGAUAGACAAGUCUCAAGUGCUCAAACUAACCGAACCCAAGUGCUAACAUGAGAGAAAACACUUAGCACUACACCUGCACAAGUUGAUCUUGGAGCUUGUUCUCUGCAGGGUUGGAUAGCCCUUGAAACAAGCUUUUCGAAAAGUCCAAGAUCACUACAAACGGAGUUCGGAGUAAAAAGUUAUGGCUUUUUCCGUAAGGUGACCUGUGCUGUUUUUACAAGGGCGGCAGUGCCGCCCCUGUACAGUCACAACGGCUAGUUUUCAAAUCCUAACGGCUAGUUUGAGUGGGAUGAGUAUAUAUACCCAUCCCACUGCUUCUGGUCGUGCUGCUGAUGCUCCAGACCUUCCCAACCUUUGCAAAGCCUCUCCCCAACCCUCUCUUUAUGAGAGUAUUGUGUUUAGUGCACAAUUUAGUGUUGGGGCUGUGUGAUUAAGUGUUAGAGAGCAGAUUAGAGCAAUCCUAACCUUGAGCACUUGCUGGGCUUCGUCGAUCUUCGUUGUGCAUUUGUUGCUCUUGGAGGUGAAGCCUCCUAGACGGCUAGGCGUCGUCCGGCGAGCUCCCGUGCUUGUGGUGAGCAGCGGGACAGUUUGUAAGACUCUCUUGCAGCUAGUGAAAUCACCCCUCACCUCAAGAGUUCAUUCUCUUGAUUUGAGAACGAGGGCAAGGCAAGCCUUGGUGGCGAGCCAAUCCUUUUGUGGAUACCUCAACAACGUGGACUUAGGCAAGCCUUGGUGGCGAGCUGAACCACGGGAUAAACACCGUGUCAUAUUGUGCUUGUUUUACAUUCUUGCAAGUUCAUAUUGUUGUUGAGGUGCUUGUAAGGUUUGUGGCCAAUCUACUUGGUGGUACUUGUUCUGCUGCGUAUAACUACUAUUCAGUGACUAACAUACUUGCAGGAAGCUGGGAAAUUUACCUGAUCUAAAUUUCCUUGGUUGGAUUUUGAAUUGUACUAAGUUCCUCCUGCGCAGGCCGGCAGUGCCGCCCUCCAAGGCCGGCAGUGCCGCCCUCCAAGGCCGGCAGUGCCGCCCUCUAAUCUGAUAGAGUUUUGAGUUGAAACUUUGCAGAUUUGUCACUGGAUAUCUUAAGUACAUCUUCACCAAGUUUGGGCUCCAUUGGACUCACGGUUGUACGAAGGCAGUGCCGCCCUCAAAGGGAGGCAGUGCCGCCCUGAGUUUUAGUUUUUGUUUGAGCAGAAUUUUCGCAGGCCUAUUCACCCCCCCCUCUAGGCCUCCUCGGUGACAUCAAGGUCCUUUCAAUUGGUAUCGGAGCUAGGCUCUCAAUUUCAGGCUUAACCACCUUGAGAGACGAUGUCGACAAGUGAGGAGGUAUCUCUAGAACUUUUACUUUUAGAUGGCUCAAAUUAUACAUCUUGGUCUGCUUGUAUGCUUGAUAUUUUUAGGGCCAUGGGUCCUCAAAUAGAGCAGAUUGUAGAUGUAAGUAUUUCACCUCCUAGUGAUAAUUUGGACUAUCUAUCUAGAGAGGAAGUGAAAUACUUACAAUACAAUGCUCAAGCUACUAAUGUCUUAUUUAGUGCUUUGAGUGAAGAUGUUCUUGAUGCCAUCAUAUUUGGAGAUGGUGAACCACUUGAUGAUGCUCAUAUCAUUUGGACCACGCUCAAAGAAAGAUAUGGCAGCUCCAAAUGUGAUGAGAAGUUGCUCUCAUUGGAGGAACCACUUGAGGAGUGCUCAACUUCACCAAUAAAUAAUGAGCCUCAAGUGAUUCUCCCAAAAGGCCUAAUGGAUCAUACCACAUCCACUUCCUCACCAACACAUGACUUAAUUGAUGGUAAUGAAAUAGUUGGUGAGAACAAAGCUUUUACAUGUGGUACUUCUACUUCCUCUAGUUCUUGUUGUUCUAACAUUUUGAAGGAAGGAGAAGCUUGUGAUCGGUGGAGGCCAAAUGAUGAAUCCCCCUCACCUACAAGCUCAACUCUCCAUGCUACUUCUCCUAUGUGUCUCAUGGCAAAAGGUGAGAAGGUAAAUCAAAAGCCAAACCUUCUUCACCUCCUAGUGACAUCUCUAGCAGUGAUCUUAGUGAUAGCUCUAGUGAUGAUGAAUCUAGUGAUGAAGAGAUUGAUGACAUAAUUAAAAAUUUGGAUCCUAAGACCAAACUCUUCAUCUCUAAACUAAUGGAGGAUUUAGAGGGCAUUCAAGCUGAACUAGCAACUAGAGAUGAUGAUCUUAUUGCACAAGAAAAUAUUUAUAUUGCUAGUAAGGAAGCUCUUGCAUUAGAGAGAAGUGAGGUGGCCUCCUUGCACAAGGCUUUGGCUAAAGAGCAAGAUGACCAUGCUCUCACAAGGAAGGCAAAUAUUACACUCAAUCAAAAGUAUUGUGACUUAGAUGAAAAGCACAAAGAGCUUGAGCUGCAAUAUAAUCUUCUUUGGGAGAGCACCUCACAUCCCUCUAAGGCAAAGGAUGCCUCUACUCCCUCCACUAGCCAAGGUUGUGGAAAAUGCUUUAAUCUUGAUUUGAAUAUUUAUGCCACUAACCUUGCUAAUAUGGAGGUCAUGAGAAAGGAGAUUGCUAGGCUCAAUGAAAUCAUAGCAGCAGGGUGCAUGAAUGACAAAACUCAAUAUGCUGGCAAGAAAAUUGUGAAUGGCUUUGAAUGUGUGCAGUUUGAGAGGAGAGAGCAGUUUGGUACAGUUCAGCCUGCACAGACCGCGGUAGUGCCGCACCCCAAGGGCGGCAGUGCCGCGCCCCGCAAAAAUGGGAAGGCUACCAAUCUGUCUCCUAAUCAAACUAAGCUCAUAAUGAAAAAGUCUAGGCAGAACAACAAAGCUCCCAAAGCCAUCAAGGUGCAGCAUCAACCAAAGAAGACUCUCAUCACUUGCUUCAAGUGCAAGAAAGAGGGUCACCAUGUGAAAGACUGCACCUUAAAUAAAGAAGAGAAGAGCAUGAGCAAGAUUCAAGAGAAGAAGAAGAAGAUGGCUCAUGUCAAGUCCUCUGGUAUGGGACAUAAUGCUUUUAUGUGUUCCAACAAAGUUGAUGACCAAGCCACACUUCCAAAGAACAAGACAAAAAGAAGCAAGAGGAAGUGUUAUGAAUGCAAAGAGAAGGGACAUGAAAUUGACUCAUGUCCCAACAAGAAAAGUGAAGGUUUAUCAUCAACAACAAAGAGGCUCUUUAGCAAGGUAGCAAGCAAAAUGCAAGAAAAGAAGGCUAACAAGAACAAGAGCCGCCUAUGCUACACUUGUAGAGAAAAGGGACACCUAAGCAUAAAUUGUCCCAUGGGUAACACUCACAAGCCCAACUCAUCAAUUGAUUCAAAUAUGCUUAGGAGGCCCAAAAAUGACACUUGUGCUAGAAAGGUGAUAGGUUCACCAAGUGGUAGCACAAAGGCCAUUUGGGUACCUAAGUCUCUUGUGACUAACCAUGAUGGACCCAACAUAGUUUGGGUACCAAAUUGUGCAUGAUGAGUGUUGUAGGUACUUGAAGGUGAUAUGAUGCUUCGGGGUGCUUGAGCAAGUUGAUUGAAAAUUUUCACUCAAGCUAUCAACCAAUUCAUAUUGUUUCUUCUUAUAUGGUUGACUCGAAGAUAAAUUAAUGAAAUUAUUUCAAACUUCAUAUUCACCUUGGUAACUAGUACCUAACCCUUGCUAGCUAGCCAUUUGACUUGUGUAGUCUCUGGUAGUUCACAAGUAUGUGUGUAUUUGUGAAUUAUCAAGAGUGGCUAGAGUAUUUCAAGUUAAAUGAAUCAUUUGCCAUAUGAUGCUUUUAAUGGCUCUCUAGUAGAGCAAAAUCUUGUUUAUGCUGUAGGUAAUGAGGAAUCAUCUUAUGAGGUAAUCAAGAAAAUUGCCACUGGUGAUUUGAGACCAAAGAAGUCCAAGUAACACUGAUAAGGAUAUCCUCAAGCUGCUGCUGCACCUAAUUCCGCUGACACCUCUGAUGCGGUAGUGCCGCCCCUCAGAGCGGCAGUGCCGCCCCUAUAUAGAUAGCAGUAGCUGACAUUAGUCCAAGACAUGGAUGAAGCCUACAACAUGAUGAUGAGCAAAGUGAAAAUGAUGAGACCACCUCAUCCAUCAUAUCUCAAGAAGGGUGGUAACAACAAUAUCUCAAGUGCAAUUAUUUUAAAACUAAACUCCUUUGUGUCUUGUGUAGUCACUUAGGAUAAAUGAAGCACUUGGAGAUAUUCAUUGGUUGCUGGUCAUGAAAGAAAAGUAUGAUUGGAAUUGAAUAGAUCAUCCACACCAAGCAACAUAGAUGACUUUAAGGAGUUUCCUCUGUGGACCUCAAACCAAGAAUUUCAAGAAAGCUCAAGUAGAGGCACUUGUUAUUCACAAUUCAUGAACUCUCUACUUGAUGGAAUCUAGUCAUAUGGUAGAUCGCCAAAAUUCUCAUUUUCAUCUUAUGGGCAUCUACAUGUUGCAAUGGUUGUGAGUAUCUCUUGGCAUAUUUCAAUUACACUAUUUGUUGCCAUGACCUAGACAUAGAGUGAAAAUCCCAAGUUCUUGAAUGAAUAAAAGUGUUAUAUGAGAAAUUCAAAUGCUUAGAGCACUUAUCAAAAGGGAAUUUACUCUAUGACUAGAGUUGUGAGACUAACCAUUUCUCUAAGUGAUUUAUGUAGUCUCACUAAAUGAGAAUGUGUUUCUCAAAUGGAGUGUGCUGUUAUAUGAAGAUCAUUAUUCCAAAACCAUGUGAUGUAUUCUCUCUAGCUAUUUUGGAAUUGAUUCAUCUAUGAUCAGCCACUCACCAUAAUAUGGCUUAAAUCUGCCCUUUGGACUUAAUUGACCAACCAUGCACAUUCACACUUUCAUUUCCACUCAAAGAGUGUGCAUGAGACAUCAAGGGAGAUUUAGUCCAUAUUAUGAGGUUUCUCUAUUUAGUGACCCACUUGCCUUCCACAUAUAAAGGGUUACUAAGUGAGAAACUAGUGCUUGUGUUUCUAAUGACCUUUUUGUGUUGAGCUUGCAUAGGAAAUCAAUAAAAGUUUAUUGUUGGCUAAAUUGAAGAAUUCACAAGCUAUAAGGUUACUCUCCACCUAAAGUAAGAUAUUGCUGCUAGGGGUCAUAUUGAUCAAAAUCUGAAUUUGAAUGAAAUCAAGUUUGAGGGUUAAAUUGGAUGAGCUAUAUUAGAAGAAUUCACAACAUGACAAGUACUAAUAAGAGGACUGAAUGGAAAUUGCAUCUUGUGAGUAUUCUCAACCAAAUCCACCUCAAGACUGGACAAGAAGCAAAGAAGAAUUGUGAAAUAUGAAAUCUGUCCAGAAAUUUGAAAAUCUGAAUUGGCUGCCUUCAAGCAUGGAUUUGGAAGUCCAAACUCUGAUGAAUUGACCUGAAACAUUAUGAGCAUGACACACAUAUCUGAUACUUGUUUCUGUACAGUUUGCAUGAAGAUUGGUUAAGAAGAAAAUCAGUUUUGAGUUGAAUUCUGUCAGCUUCAGCAUUGCAGAUUCAGACCAUAGCAGUUUUGGUAGAAAAUUAUUUUGACUGAUCUAAUGGAGUCCAAAUGAGAUGAAAUUUAUACAGAAGUUAGAGGACUAACAGAUGAAGACCUCUUCCAAAUUUCAUGCAUAUUGGGCUAGUGGUCUGAGAGAUAUGAAUUCUUCUCUGAGGAUGACAGAAUCUGAAAACUGACUGUUUGGAAUUGGAUUGCAGUAUAACAACAAGAUUCAGUUGGCUCUCAAGUUGAUCAUGAAAGAUUUAUUAAAAAUGAGCAACAUCAGUUUGGAUAAAGGAGUUUCAUUGGAAGAAGAGAACUCAUACAAGGAUCCAAACAAGUUGCAAUCAGAUUACAAGCAGUAGCAAAUAAUUGCAAUUAGUUGUUAGAAGAAUUCAAAUGCAGUCUUUCAAAAACAGCAGCUAAGAUCAGUUGAAACUUGAUUAAACUAGUUGGCUUCAGCUUUGACAAGUAGCAAAAAUGAGUUACAAUCAGAUGGUACUAGCUGAAAUCAAUUGGAAGCAACUGAAACUAGCUGAAACUAAUUAGAUUACAACAGCCUGAAGGAGUUUGAAACCAGUUGGAAUGCAGUGUAAACUUCUCCCUUGACCUCAUGGUAUUGAUAUGCAUGAGUGUACUCUGUGUACUUAUGCACAUAUUAAGGGGGAGUUUAGACUAUAUCUUGUGAGACUAUUGGUUUCUUUCAAGUGUAUGUUGUGCAGUCCCACACAAUGGAAAAGGAAGAUGGAUGAUUCCAAUGGAUUCUCUUAGUGCUUCACAAUUAUUCUAGGAUCUUGGUUUUUAUAAACCAGGUGCUCCCAAUUUAAUGUCGAAUGCCCCAAUCCUUAGUGGAACUGAAUUUAAAUGAGUUGGAGAAAAUAAUUGAAGAAUGAGCUUUCAUGACUAUUUCUCCUCUCUAGAGCUCUCAAGUGUUUACGACUCAUCUCAUUGAUUACCUAGGAUCUUGUCAACAAAGACUGGUAACUCCUAGUUCAUAAUUUGCAAAUUUCAUGAAUUUUACCUUUUGCUCUCUAUGUGGGUUGCCUUAGGUAAAGAAAGAACUAGGAACAUAAUUUGUAUCUUGGAUGAUCACAAGAGCUCUAAUUCACCACAUGUCAUCAAUUGAGAAAUGCAUGGUCAUCGAAAUCUUUUGAGCCUCACUUAUGAUGGUCAUAUCAAUGAAAAUCUAUGUGGUGAUCUAUAUACCUUGGUGGUGGUAUGUUUCCUUGGCACAAUUUCAAUUGUUGCAAACUUAUGAUACCUUGACCAAGGUAUAGGAUGAACUCCUCUUGACUCUUAAACCGAUUCAAAUGCACUUUGCAAGUAAUUUGAGUACUUGCUGCAUAUAUUAAGGGGGAGUCCAUUAUAUGUCUUGUGUCUUUGAGACUAACCUUUUCUUCUAGUGAAUUUGUGUAGUCUCUUGGUGAGAAUGAGUUUCUCAUGGGUAUGCUACAUUAACUCAAUCCAAAUGGUAAAGUUAUCUCUCAUAUUUACUUGGAUUGCAAUUUUACUACUUAAGUAGCUACUCUCCAUAAUAUAGCUUAAAUUCCCCUAUUUGGACUUAAUUGACCAAAAGUGCAUAUUUCUUGCCUUCCACAUAUAUAUGUAUGCACUAUCAAAAAGAGGGAAUUUAGUCUAUGUUAUGAGGUUUUGCAAUUAGUGACUUACAUGACUUCCACAUCCAAAAGGUCACUAGUUGUGAAACUCUAGCUUGUGCAAUUUGAUGUUAUCUCUUGUCUUGUAAGCAUUACCUAGGUGACAAUAUGAGAUACAAGCAUCCCAUCCAAUUGGCAUCAGCUUUUGAAGAUUCCUUCAAUUGGUGUCAAAAUUGAGAAGAUCAUAUUUCAAUUGGUAUUGGUGGAUAAUCUUUCAACCUGUCAUAUCAAGAAAUAUGUCUUCAACUGGUAUCUCAAAAUAACAACAAGACUGGCAAUGGACUGUCAACUCAAAUCAAGCACAAGUUUAUGAUAUCUCCUAUGAUCAAGAGAGAUCAUAAAUGAAGUCUUUUUGCAUUUUGCCAAGCCCAUCAAAGCACUAAAUUCAUAAUAUCAUGAUCACAGUGGAGAUUAUGAGGUUUAGAACAAAGGUAUAUUAAUCCAUAAACUCUUGUAUUACCUUUGUGCAUCUAGGCCCUUACAUGCUAGUGUGUGCAUGUGUAUGCAAUAUUUAAGCCACACCAUGAGUUUUUUCUUAUGGUGACGAUUAGAGAAUGAUUUAGAUAUUUGGUUGAUACCUCUAUGGUGGUAAAGUGAGUUUGUCUCAUGUUAAAACUAUCAUCUAAGUGAGGUAUGAGCUAAAUAUGCUAACUUCUCAAGAAUCUUGACUUAAGGUGUUGCAUACUUGGUUUGGUAGAAAACUUAGGAGAGAAAUCCUAUAUGCUAAACUUUUACCUACCUCUUGCCCUCAUUUGUCUACCAUUAUUUCUUCCUUUCGGUUGAGAGAUCCUUUUUGGAGAUUAAUGCCAAAGGGGGAGAAAUAUUGGGAGAGAGUGUAAGGGAGGAGAGAUUGAUAUGUGGAUUGAAAGGGGUAAAGGAGAGGCAUAUAAGAUUUUUCAAAUUUUUGUGUGGUGUGUGCAAGGAUAGUUUAUGCUCUUGAUAAGGACUUUUUAUGUUAGUGUGAAAUGUUCUUGACUUGAAUGGUGGUUGCCUUUAUUUCUGUGCUGCUCUGGCAAGUGCGGCAGUGCCGUCCUCCUAGUACGGCAGUGCCGCCCUCUGCUGGCCAGCAAACUUUGAGUGCAUGACCUGCCAUGAGCAUCACGUUUAUCAUGUUGACACCUUGCACCCCACGGAUGCUAAGAUAUAGAAGAGUUCCCACACUUCAUCUUGAAUAUGUGCAUUUGGCAUUUGAGGCCAAAACUUGAAAUUCUAUUCUAUGCACAUAUUUAAGGGGAGCUCACUAUAUCACAGGAUUCAAAAUCUUAAUGUUUAUCAAUCUCUUGUAAGCUUUAAUUGUGUUGUCAUCAAUCACCAAAAAGGGGGAGAUUGAAAGUGCAUCUAGCCCUUUGUGGGUUUUGGUGAAUUGAAUGACAACAUGAUUAAAGGUCUAAUAAGUUUGUUAAGUGUUGAACAGGAUAUUGAGUCUAUUGCACAUACUUGUGGAUUGUGUAUUAACAAGUAUGUUCAAGGCUCAACAAGCAGGCAAACUUGAUGAUAUGCCACAUAGUGUUGAAAUGAAGGCCAAAUUGUGUAUUGUUGUAUUAAAGGAUUAUGGAAACAAUCUAGGUCAAGCAAAAGACAACAAUGCAAAUAAAAUCUAUGGAAUGGCUUACAUGUUGUGGGAUAUCAUAACAUCAUGAGAAAGCAAGCAUAUUUGACAAAUGGCAAAAGAGACAUGAGUUGAUGUUCUUGGAUUGGUGUCUACAAUGGCUUGCUUUUCAUGAACAAGAAAAGCUUGAUAGUGAACUAGGUUUGAUCAAGCUAGAAGUAUGAAGAUCAAGAUUGAAGUGAGUAUUGAGUGUCAAGCCAAAAUAGAGAGGAUAUAAGGAACUAUGAAUUGGCUUGAUCAUAUUGAUGCUGAUCCAUAUAUGUCUCUAUGUGAGUCAAACUGAAGCUUGAUUGAUCUCAAUAUUUAUAUCUAGAAGAUAUUCAAGCAAGGAUCACAAUAUUGAAGAAAUGAUUAUUCAAUGGAUACUUAAUGUGAUAUGACUUGAGUAUGGCUUGAUAAGGUGAAGAUAGUAAGGAAAGGGCUUCGAGGGACUAAGCAGAGGUGAAGGGAUAAGCGACGGCUUAAGGACCGAGGUACCAUGGCUAAGGUGAAGAAGAGAGUACUUGCAUUGAGUCGAGGAACUAAUCAAGCUAUGAGGAGUCAUAUUGUGUUGAGAAUCAAAUCUUUAGUAGAAGUGACUUGAAUCCAUGGAGGUGAACUCAUAUGUGUUGAAAUGGGUCAAGUCACAUGCUCAAGGUGUGUUUGCUCAAGAAAAGGAGACAAAGUUGAUUGCAACCCUUUAUGUAGUAAUAUUGAGAAGAAAUGGCAUAUGAAGACAUUGAAGACUCAAGUGAUCAAAUUAGUUAUAUUCUCUUGUUCUUGAGUAUAGGUAUGCCGUACUAUCAAGGGGGAUGCAAUACGAAUGAUAGACAAGUCUCAAGUGCUCAAACUAACCGAACCCAAGUGCUAACAUGAGAGAAAACACUUAGCACUACACCUGCACAAGUUGAUCUUGGAGCUUGUUCUCUGCAGGGUUGGAUAGCCCUUGAAACAAGCUUUUCGAAAAGUCCAAGAUCACUACAAACGGAGUUCGGAGUAAAAAGUUAUGGCUUUUUCCGUAAGGUGACCUGUGCUGUUUUUACAAGGGCGGCAGUGCCGCCCCUGUACAGUCACAACGGCUAGUUUUCAAAUCCUAACGGCUAGUUUGAGUGGGAUGAGUAUAUAUACCCAUCCCACUGCUUCUGGUCGUGCUGCUGAUGCUCCAGACCUUCCCAACCUUUGCAAAGCCUCUCCCCAACCCUCUCUUUGUGAGAGUAUUGUGCUUAGUGCACAAUUUAGUGUUGGGGCUGUGUGAUUAAGUGUUAGAGAGCAGAUUAGAGCAAUCCUAACCUUGAGCACUUGCUGGGCUUCGUCGAUCUUCGUUGUGCAUUUGUUGCUCUUGGAGGUGAAGCCUCCUAGACGGCUAGGCGUCGUCCGGCGAGCUCCCGUGCUUGUGGUGAGCAGCGGGACAGUUUGUAAGACUCUCUUGCAACUAGUGAAAUCACCCCUCACCUCAAGAGUUCAUUCUCUUGAUUUGAGAACGAGGGCAAGGCAAGCCUUGGUGGCGAGCCAAUCCUUUUGUGGAUACCUCAACAACGUGGACUUAGGCAAGCCUUGGUGGCGAGCUGAACCACGGGAUAAACACCGUGUCAUAUUGUGCUUGUUUUACAUUCUUGCAAGUUCAUAUUGUUGUUGAGGUGCUUGUAAGGUUUGUGGCCAAUCUACUUGGUGGUACUUGUUCUGCUGCGUAUAACUACUAUUCAGUGACUAACAUACUUGCAGGAAGCUGGGAAAUUUACCUGAUCUAAAUUUCCUUGGUUGGAUUUUGAAUUGUACUAAGUUCCUCCUGCGCAGGCCGGCAGUGCCGCCCUCCAAGGCCGGCAGUGCCGCCCUCUAAUCUGAUAGAGUUUUGAGUUGAAACUUUGCAGAUUUGUCACUGGAUAUCUCAAGUACAUCUUCACCAAGUUUGGGCUCCAUUGGACUCACGGUUGUACGAAGGCAGUGCCGCCCUCAAAGGGAGGCAGUGCCGCCCUGAGUUUUAGUUUUUGUUUGAGCAGAAUUUUCGCAGGCCUAUUCACCCCCCCCCCCCCCCCUCUAGGCCUCCUCGGUGACAUCAAGGUCCUUUCAAUGUGUCUAAAAUUUGUAUGAGUAGAAAUCAACAUGAAAGUACACGCAGUUAGAGUGGAUUGGAGGAAAUCUUUGCAGUUACCAUGAACAGUAUGUUUAUAGUUUCAUAUCUCUUUUGACAGUGCCUAAAAAAACUCUCUUUCCAUAGUUAAUCCUAAUGACCACUGGCGGAGGGCAAUGGAGGCGAAGCUGGGCGCUUGCCUCCCCUUUCUCCAUGCACUGGCCACUACAGGUCCUAUCUCUGACAUGGAGAAGCAAGGUAAGGGAGUCAUAUCAUAGUUCAAGCAUUAUGUGAGAGUUGUAGCUGGCUCUCUUUUUAAUUAGCUUCACACUCCGCCGCUGCUAAUGACUAUUAUAUUAACACAAACUCUUGCCAGCUGCCACGUUUGGCACGUCGCAUCGCAAUCGCCUGCAUCCACCGUGUCCCACGUACGUUUUUCCUUGGGUUGUUUGCCUCGCCGAGAAGGGAACAGGACGGUCAAGUCAAAGAUCGGUGGCCGGAUCAUUCCACUUCCAGUUCCAGCCGCCCGCCGCGACGUGUACCUGUGCUGUGCAUGUGGCCGCCUUCGUGGGUUUUUUUUUUUUUUUUUUUUUUGUUCAGCAACGAACGUACCGAUAGGAAUGUGAUGUGGGAGAAGCAGAGAGGCCGGCCGCGGAGGGUGGAAAAAGGCUGGCUUGACUGGGGAGAGUAUCGGGUCCCACAUCGCGACUGGUUCCACUGAGCGGUGGUCCCAUGCCAGUACAAUCGCUGGCUUGCUUUGCAGUUGUAGGUCCACGUCCAACCGCUCCAGCUCGUAAUUCUCCAUGGAGGCAUGAAGCCAGCUCAUGUCGUUUUUAUUGUGAAAAGUCAAGAGCAUUAUUUAAUACUAGCGUGCAUCGUGCCGGUACCGGCCAACGAAGAAGGUGUUUAGAGCGUUGGUCGGUUAAGGGCUUCCCCGUCGAAUGAUGGUUUCGCAAGGAGUAGAACGGCAGCUUUACUACUCCCUCCCUCCCUCCAUCAUCAUUAAAAAAAAGUCGCUACGAAAAUCAUGCUGAUCAAAUUUAACUAGAUUUAUAAAUAAUAUAAUACAUACUUCCUCUGUAUCAGAUUUAAAAGUCGUUUAAAACAGCAACACAGUUUUCAAAUUAUAACUUUGACCUCUUAUUUUUAUAAAAAUAAUUUUAACAAAAUGAUAUAUGUGUACAUUUAUGAAAGUAUUUUUUAAGACAAAUCUAUUCAUAUAAUUUUCAUAUUUUUUAAGACAAAAGUUAUUGAUGAGUUAUAUUGCUAAUGUUUGACCCAAAUCUUGUCAAAAAAACUUCUAAAUCCGAUAUGGAGGGAGUACAAUAUUUAUAUCUUUAAAUAAAUUUGUUAUAAAAGUAUAUUCAACAAUCUAGCUAAUCAUAUAAAUUAUAUACUAUAAAUAUUAAUAUUUCGUUAAAUAUAUUUGGUCAAAGUUAAAAGUUAGAUAGCUCUUAUUUAGGGAAGGAGGAAGUAUGUCUCAUGAGUCAUGACAUAAAAGUCUAGGCAACCGCCAGAGUCUCGUGUUGUGAGAAGCUGGAAUGGGAAAAACCUGUGUAUAAUGGAUUAAUGGGACCAUAAAUAAUGUUGCUGCGUACUCCCUCCGUCCAUUAGGCCAGUCUCAAUGAGGGUUUUAUUAGAGUUUCAUUACAUUAAAUAUGCUGAUGUGGCACUAUAUUAAUGAAGAGAGAGAUGGUAAGAGUUUUAUGGGAGUAGAGAGAGUUUCAUCCCCAUAAAACUCCUAUGUACUGUUUCCAAAAUAUUGAUGUGUUGGAAACUGUGUCAUGAAACUCCCAUUGAGGAUGGCCUUAGUCUCCUUCGUUUAAGCCUUGUGCACAGAGACCAAGGAGCAUGAAAGACUCACGUCACGUCUUUUCAAUAAAUUAUUAUGGUCCAAUUAAUCUAAUUAAUGUGCAUGCCUGCAUGCAACCAAUGAACAGCCAAUAUGACCCAAGUCCUACAUGGAGACGUGUGCAUACAUCCAAAGAAUGGCCAUAAUUACAGCCGAUCACCUCAACAUGAUGGAGAUAAUUGGAAGAAAAACUUUUGCUUAAAUGAUUGAGAUAAAUGGACGGAGGGAGUAUUGACUAUGCUCUCGUUAAUACAUACUCGUCUCAUCUACGUGGAGGCUGGAGCGAGACCAGCCACCUCCGAUGCAUCCUCAUCUACGUGGAGCAAUAACUUUCGUUGAGGCUAACAACGCUAUUUAGGGGUGUUUGGUUUGCUCUGUUAAACUUUACCGCUUGUUAUAUUGAAUGUUUAGAUACAAACUAUUUACGAAAUUAAAAAUACAGCUGGAGAGUAAUUUGAGAGACGAAUCUUUUAAACCCAAUUAAUCUAUAAUUAGAUACUAAUUAUCAAAUAAGACAAAAAUGCUACAUUAACCAUCGAAACGGGACACCCCCUUAGCUUACGGUGGUCGUGUCCUCAUAGACACAUGAGUCUUUAAAGUGAGUAAAAGUAUUCUUCGACAGAUGAGUCAUUCCCUAAAAAAUAUCAGCUGGUUUUAAGGGAUGUUUGGUUGCUAGCCAUAGUUUACCAUAACUAACUUUAGGUAAGUAUGGCAAGCCACAAAAAGUGUGGUUAGCAAAUUGGUUGCCACACUUUGCUAUGCCUAAAGGAAUCUUGCCACACUUUUUAACUCUAUGACAUGUGGAGCCCAAAAGAAUCAUGUCUAAACUUAGUUGUCAACCAAACACUUGCCAACUUGGUCAAACAUGCCUAAGGUAAAGUGUGGCAAACUGUGGCUGGCAACCAAACAGCCCCUUAUUCUCUAGUCCAUGUCAGCUGAGCAUGGUAACUUGGUAAGGUACAUACACCUUCAUUACCUUAAGUUUGUCGUUGGCUAGCUCAAAAUUAUGCUAAAAAUUGCAGGCGUAUUUUUCCUUUGCCCCUAAAUAUUUGACGGAACCUAGUACUUGAUACUUUUCCUUCCAAAUAGAAUAUUGUCGGUGCACACGAUGCUAAAUCGUGUUUUCAUUUUCAAAAUAUAAAAAGGGGAAUGACUCCGUACUCAAUGAGACUUGGAUAUGAGGUUGUGCAGCUGUUGGACGGGGACCUAUAAAAGGCCGACUAUCUCCAACAAUCAUCACCCAAAAUACAAGACCUAUUUAUCCUUUGGGUAGCGCUACAGGUAAAAGGUUUCAUACCUAUAUUUAGUCUUCUCCAGCAACGAGACCUAAAAGAAAACACUCUCUGCAAAUGGGUCUCGAGGAGAGAGAAUACCCAAAUUUGGGUUAUGCCUCUCCUGAUACCUAAAAAGGGUUUUCUGUAUGGAUACUCUGUUGGAGGCUAUAGGUAUUGUGUUGGAGACCCAUUUUGGGUUUGGGUUCCCAAAUGGGUCUCCUAUCGGAGACAGCCUUAAAAAGCCACAUGAUUUCUGGUUCUGUUUCUCCAGUAUCCAGAUCAUUUUUUUGUUCCUUAUUUUAAUGUAGUACGGUAUCAGUAUUUGUUUCAAUAAUGAAUGUACUACAUGUUUAUUGAUGGUCUCACCCACCAAAGCCUAGAAAUAAAUGAUACAGUAAGCUAUGAGCUAGCUAGAUAUUUUUCGUAGCACCACAAAAUGAUUGAAUGAAAUUCUUAGUACGUGUUUAAAUAAAAAAAAGGUGGGUCAAGAUGAAUGACCCAUUCCCCAUCCACAAAGAGCAUUAUGACUUAUUAUCAGCGGGGGUUGAAGAAAUGGACAUAGACCUACAAGUGCAAGUGAAGGGAUUGGUAGAACAACUCCAAGAGACCUGUUAUGUAAUAUCUAAUGGUUAGGAAUAAAAUUUUAGUAAAAAGUCUUUAACAGUAUUUUUUAUUAAAAUUUUAAAUAUAGCCAUCUUCUAUUUCGAAUUUCUUGUUAGCUGAAGAUAGAAAAUAAGAAUGACUAUCUGAAAACAUGUAGAAAAAUUGUUGAAGAUAGAACGGAUAUAGAAAACGAUCUAUAUGCACAUAAUUCUUUGAAAUAAUGACUUAAAGGGUGAUUUUUGGAAAGGCACUCAGCCAUAGCUGAUUUGUUGUGAAAAAAAAUAUUGUUUAAUGACUGAUAAAUUUAGCUAAUAAACUCUAUGACAGCUCAUACCAACAAGCCGGAUACAGGGCCACCGAUCGCUGCUGCUCUGAUUUUUCUCUUGGGUCCUUAACCGCCCCGACAAAUCUUUCCCCAGCCAAACAGUGUAAAAUCAGACCGGUGUGUAGUACUGAUGAAUUAAGCGUCAAACCGAAGAAGGUUCGUUAAUCACACCAUCGUGAGUGCGAUCUUUUUCUUCCUUCCUUUUUUGUUUGGCAUUGCUUCACCUAGCCUACUAUGAAAAAAGUUAAUCAACAGCCAAACACGUGCAGGGUUGUAACCUUCCGGCGACCGGCGGAGCUCCGUUGUCGGAUCACCGACGAGAUCGGAGCGCGGAACGGCCAAUCGCUGCUGUCGCUCGCUCGCGGAUGCGGACAGCGUGCAGCUGUACGCGGUACGCCUGCUCCAUGGCUGGUUGUUCACCUGCCGCUGUCGUCACGUGGCGUGCUCGGCUGCUCGCUUAACUCUGCUCCAGAUCCGCCGCCAGGCCACAGCACCCCGCUCGCCGCCGGUGGACGGCCGCCCACCGCCAUGGCCGUGGUCGUCAGACGCGUGUUUGGUUCUAGGUUACUGUAACAGGAUGGUUCUAUUCUCUGUCUCUCUCUGCUUGACUGGAGAACGAGGACAUCCUGUUCUGUGUUUCGUUACCUAUGAUAUGAUGAUGAUGCAUUAGACAUAUGUUUUUUUUUACAACCAUUAGAAAUAUGUUAUCCUCUCUCAUCUUCCACAUUGCUACAUCUCUCGGCCCCAACCGUCCCAUUUGCCCUGUCAUGGUUGAGCUUGUCUGUUGAAGCACAAUUGCCCUGUUUCACUUAGCCGCAGAAUAUUUUUUUUUUCUCAAAACAAAUUAGUAUUAGCAUAAGCCGCCGAAAUAAUCAUCCCCGCUAGCUGUUUAAACAGUUCUUUCUUUGGGUGACAAAAAAAUACCUCUACUCGCUCAGAAAUACAGUAGAACUCCACGUGCCCACCCGAUCUACAAAAAGGAUGCAUAAUUUCAGCUUUCCUGCUCAAGAAUCAUGACUGAGGCUUUUAGCCAUGUUUUCAGUUUUUCUCUCUUAUCAAAUGGCCAACUGUUCUUUUAGUCAUAAUUUUUCAGUUUUUCUCUCUUAACAAACAGCGAACGGUUCUUUCAGCUAUAAUAUUUCAGCUAAGCGCGCAUCACGUACCGGUGGCCAAUUUUGCUGCUGUUCAAGUUUGGCCAGUUGUGUAACCAACAGCAACAAAGAUCCAGCCUGUCCCUUCAGUUGCCAAUUUGUGCAGUAUGAACUGUGCGCACCUUUCACAGCUGCUCAAAGGUCACACGAAACAAUUUUUUCACCACCUUUCAUGGUACUCAAAGGUCACCAAGCACAAGUGGACGGAGAAAUGUGAACUUGUAAUUGCGCUUGGUUACACAGGGGGCACCUAAAGGGUAACAGUAACAUACGAAUAUUGAUAGAUUAAAAACUGCAAAUCUCUCAGCAGUUUCAGUACAGACUCGAAAAGGGGAAGAAAAAAAAAUACUGGACGACCAAACUAAAAGAUAAAGAUCAGCGCAUAAUCCUGGUUGCUGCCACACCAAAUUAUACCAAUCCCUAAGCCGGCGGCGCCGACAUGGCUUGCUUGCCAAAGCCUUCUUUUCUUCUCUUCUAUGGAGCAGCCAGUCACUGAUCAAACACACAUCCAGGAGCAGGAGCAGCAGCAGCAGCAGCAAUGCUUGCAGCAGGUAUCAGCAGAGCCAGAGGAAGAUACAGCACGGAGACACACAGUCUUCUUCAUGUCCAAUUUGGCUUCCCAAUCUUAAGCGGAUGCCUUGUCGAACUUGAGGGGCUUCACCACCUCCCAGGUGAAGUCGGCGUCGUCACGGCCAAAGUGGCCGUAGGCGGCGGUCUUGAUGAACCUGUUGCCGCCUUUCUUCAGGUCGAGGUUGAUGGUGAUCAUGCCGGGCCUGAAGUCGAAGUUCUCCUUGACGAUCUUGAGGAUCUCCUUGUCCGGGAUGCUCCCGGUGCCGUACGAGUCGACGAACACGGACAGGGGCUCCGGCACGCCGAUGGCGUAGGAGACCUGCACGAGGCAGCGGCGGGCGAGGCCGCUGGCCACGAUGCUCUUGGCGGCCUGCCUGGCGAUGUAGGCGCCGCUGCGGUCCACCUUGGUGGGGUCCUUGCCGGAGAAGGCGCCACCGCCGUGGGCACCCCAGCCGCCGUAGGUGUCGAUGAUGAUCUUGCGGCCGGUGAGGCCGGCGUCGCCGUGGGGCCCACCGAUGACGAAGCGGCCCGACGGGUUGAGGUGGAAGAUGGUCUUCUCGUCGAGGUACUUCUCCGGGAUGACGGGCUUGAUGACGUGCUCCUUGAGGUCGGCGGCGAUCUCGUCGUUGGUGACGGUCUCGUCGUGCUGGGUGGAGAUGAGGACGGUGUGGACGCGGACGGGCACCAUGGCGCCGCCCUCGUUGACGUACUCCACCGUGACCUGGGUCUUGCCGUCGGGCCUGAGCCAGGCGCAGGUGCCGUUCUUGCGGACCUCGGUGAGGCGCGCGCCGAGCUUGGUGGCCAGCACGUGGCUGAGCGGCAUCAGCUCGGGGGUCUCGUCGGUGGCGUACCCGAACAUGUGGCCCUGGUCGCCGGCGCCGAUCUCCUCGGGCCGCUUGGUGAAGUGCCCGUGCACGCCCUGCGCGAUGUCGGGGGACUGCUGCUCGAUGUUGACCAGCACCUUGCAGCGGUCCGCGUCGAGGCCCACGUCGUCGGAGACGAAGCCGAUCUCGCGGCAGGUGUCCCGGACGAUCUUCUCGUAGUCCACGGUGGCCUUGGUGGUGAUCUCGCCGAACACCAUCACCAUGUUGGUCUUGGUGCAGGUCUCGCACGCCACCUUGCUGUCGGGGUCCUGCGCGAGGCAGGCGUCGAGCACGGCGUCCGACACCUGGUCGCACAGCUUGUCGGGGUGCCCCUCGUUCACGGACUCCGAGGUGAAGAGGAAGCUCUCAGCCGCCAUUGCUUUCUUCUUCUCGGGCGAUAAAUUAACCUCUGCAAAUUUUAUUUGAAAAAAAAAAGGAAUUCAGACAAUCAGAAACCAUCCGCAGAUCCACCGCACAUUCGAAUUGGAUGACCAACAAAUAUACUUAUUAAACCGAUGCCGUGAGAUCUGAAAAUCAGAGCACCACAGACAACUCCAAAUGCAGAGGCUACGAGAUCUAAUAAAAUGGUGAACCCUCCCUCCGAGACACCAAAUUUUUUUAAAAAAAAAAUCCCAAAAUUUGUCCACUGAAUCUCAAAUUUAAACGGCACCCCAGAUCUACAGAAUCCCUAAAUAAGCAUAAUAAUCACCAAAACCCACACCGGGAUCGGCCAUCCCGUGGCGACCAUCAGAUCCAACCGAGGAAGACCCAACCAAGGUUUGCAGCAUCUCCCCCCAAGCAUGCGCGCACAAAUGACAAAACCACGCACGCACGGACGGACGAACCUCGGGAGAAGCACGACGAACGGGGAAAUGACGAACCAACGAGAGAGAGAAGCAGCAGGCUGGAACUCACCUUGCGCUGCUGCUCUUUAUUCGGGACCGGCAAGAGGGAGAAGAUGCGAACGGGGAUGUGUGGCACGGGGUCUCGGCACUGCUGGGGGCUCCGCCAUUUAUAGCCGCGCUGGCGCCGGGCGCGGAUCCGGGGGAAGGAGGUCAGAGGUGGGUCCGCACGGGGUGCGGGUGCGGGUGCGGGUGUACCUGAGCUUCGGUGCGGAAAGUAUUUUGGCGAGUCGGGCAGGCAUGCACGUGAGGACAUGGCGGGCGGACACUGACCGGAUGGCCCCACGUCGGCGAAGAAGCCACCCGCUGGCCGGUAGGCAGUAGCAGCGCUGUAGCCUUGUUGUCCUCUCACCAACCCCACGGCCACCAACCCCCCAGUGAUGCUGGGCCCACUUCACCUAACAUUUCUCUCUCCAUCAUUUUCUUCCGUAUAACCGUGUAGUAUAUUCUGUUAUCAGUACUACGUUUUAUCAGUACAGUAGUAGUAUUUCUGUUAUUCAUUUUUCUCCUAGAAAUUUGCCAGCCUCAACCUAGAAAUGGAAAAUAAAAUACUUGCCUCACCUAUUAUCACCGGUUUACGACUUACGAGGUGUCUUUUACUCUCUCCAUUAUGAAUUAUAGAAUAAUUUCAGACUUUUCUAAAUUCAUAAUUUUUACUAUAUAUAUAAUGUUUAGAUACAUAGUAAAAUCUAUAAAUCUAUAAAUGCUAAAAUUUUUUAUAAUUUAGGAUGGAGAGAAUAGUUUCUUUAGGAGGAAGUUCAUUCCUUUUGGGGGCUAUGGUUGGUGGUUGUCAAUUGAAAGGGAGGAAAAAACGCUUUAGCGUGGCCGGAGACCGCAUCACUGUACGAUCAACUUUAGGUCUUGUAAUUGGCAAAAUUUUAAGAUUUUAGGUACUAUAGUACUUUUAUUUUUAUUUAAUAAAUAUUAUCCUAUCGUAGAUUAACUAGGCUCAAAAGAUUCGUCUCACAAAUUAUAGGUAAUCUAUGUAAUAAGUUUUUAUUUUCGUUUAUAUUUAAUACUUCAUACAUAUGCCGCAAUAUUUGAUGUGACGUAAAAUCUUAAAUUUUUGGUAAAACUUUUUGAGAACUAAACAAGGCCUUAGCAUUAUUAUUGUUAAUGCCUACAAAUAUAUGAAUUAUCCAAAAAAAGUAAAUAAUUUUCAAACAUUUUAAGUGGAGGUCAACAUGUUAUAUGGAUCAUGUGCUGUCCUGGACAGUGAGCAAAAUACCUUGUCACAGAAGCGUUACAUGCCUUUUUGGAAAUGCAUGAAAUGCAUUUUUUUUUCCUGCAAGAUUCCUGUGUUCAGAAUGGUGAUUACUGAUUACAAAAAAAAAAGGAAAGGUCAAGUUCAAUGAGAAAAACAAUCUCACGAUUACUUUUGGUGUCUGAUUAAUUUCUUGUCCUUGGGAAGUCGUUCUCAUGAGAAAAUUGUAGCACCAUCUUCCUAGCACGUGUAUGACUGUAUGUGCAUAUGUCGUGUUCUCGCAUGGUAGCAAAUAGGAGUUUAUCCUUUUUCCAAUUGUUUUUCUAUAGGUAUUUGAGCGGCAAGAAAAUGCAUAAUUAUUACUCUCUCUAUCCCAAACUAAAAGAUAUUUGAUUUUUUUGUUUUUAUUUAAAAAAAUUAUAUAAAUAUAGUUAAAUUUAAGUCAUUUUUAUAGAACUUUUACUUAUAAUCAAAUCAUGACAAAAGAAGUGAUAUUUUGCACAAAAAUUUGAAUAAGACAAAUAAUCAAAAUUAUGUUAAAAAGUUGAACGUCAUAUAAUUUAGGGCCUGUAGGGGCCUAAAAAACCCUCCUAUUUAUUCAAGAAAUAAUAAUUAGCAUGGAUUGAGUAUUAAUUUCGCAAUUGUUUAAUGAAGCAUGUUUCAAAAAGUCAAAGAUGCAUGCCUCUGACUCGAAGGACGAUUGGAGCACAGAAAGUCGCGCGAUUGCGCCUGCAUGAUCCGACCACUAUGGCCGCACCUCCUGGAUCUAUCUCCGGUUCUCCAUGGUUGCACUUGCACGUUGCAGAGAAGGAUUUUUUUUUUUAAACACGAUUCGCCUUGCCUUUGGUGUUUUUUUUUUCUCUCUUCUUUAUUUAAAUCCGAGUAGGGUGGUUGGCGCCUAAUCAGUACUCAUGAAAAAAAUAAUUUUUGCUGCAGAUUAGUUUUCUCGCCAAUAAUGCAAAAAUGAUGCAAGAAAAUAAACAAAAAUCGUACCGUCUCAUUUUUUGCAAAGAAAAUCGUACUGUAUCUCUUUUUUGUGUGAAGAAAAUCAUACUGUAUCUGCUAGUGCCAAGCAUGAGUUACACAUGUUACGUACCUCUAUAGAAAAAUACUUACGGUUGGUCAGCUGGUCUCUAACUUGUGAACAGUAAUAAAUAGGGAAAGGCAAAACAAAAAAAAACAAAAAAGAGUGUCCCAAAAGAACUAAGACCGAGACUGAAGUUCCUAAAAUUUUGGUUCUUGGUUUCUGGUGAUCCAAUUUUUAUCUCCUUGUUUCGACCUUAGGCCAGUCUCAGUGGAGAUUUCACCAGAAUGUCAUGCACAUUUAUUAGAACGCCAUGUCAGUAAAACUGCACUUUAUGCAUGAAACGAAGAGGAGAGAGAAGGAAGUAGUUUCACCAUGGUGAAACUCCGCGGGCAUUGUUUCCCACGCGGUGAAAUGAGAUGAAAUCCCCACUGAGGGCUAAAUCGUUUCACCAUCUUGCAUGUGAUCCAAUCAUUUUUGCAGUAAUUAAAUGCUUUGCCUAGCCUAGGAAACGUCAAGGUGAAACUCAUGCAUUGUGGAGGUUGUUUCAUUAUUCGUUUCAUUGAUGCCCUGUCAGCGGAUUUGUUUUGGAAAUAGUGCAUUGAAACGGGCCACUAAGACUGGCCUUACAUAUCUGGUAAUCCAAAACUUAAAUCACACCUCAACUAUGGUUCGUCUCCUAUCCGACAUCCUUAUCUGUUAUCCUAAAUAGGUGAAGACCCCAAUCUAGCCUCUCAAAUCUUUGCAUUCUCUCUUCCCGAUCCACAGCUUCAAUCCGAGUAUGAGAGGGCGGCAAGCAAGGACAAGGAUCCAUGAGGGCCAUGGCAAGCGGCUUGGGGCUCUGUGAAGGCUGUGCAUAUGUUCUGUGUGCCUGACACUCAGUGGCGAAGGUGGCUAUGGCAACAUUUCAAAUUGCUUUUGCAAUGAUGGACCAAGUAUUAGGCGAGGCGGGUGAGAGGUCCUUGCCAUGCGUAGCGCAAGAUUAGAUGUGGUUUGAUCUUGUGCUGUCAUGGCAACUGAUAAACGCCUUUCAGCAUGUGUCGAAAUUCCUCGAACGAGGCAAGUUAUGGUCUUACGAUGGUGGUGGUGACCCUCAUGAUGCCCAGUAUGGAUUGUCCAACUCCUUCGUCUCUUCCCUCCCCUUCCAUGUGCGGCCACACCUGCAAAUUGAGAUCCUAGCCACAUCGAUCGCCUUCGGUCGAAAAUGUGUGUAAACACCCUAGGUGUUACGUAAGUCCAUUAGCACUAAACAUGUAAUCAUUAACUGGAUAGUAUUAAGAUUAUGAUAAGAUUAGCUAAAGGGGUCUUGUUAAACAUGCAAUGUUUGUUGCCUUAGGUACCACCAAUUGGCAUGGUCCCUGCAGGAAGCAGAGGCUGUAGAGUUGGUGGAGAGAGGGGUCAUGAGGACAUGGAAGUGGAGCGGAGGUGCCAGGUCAAGAAAGUGGGAAAGGCAACACGAUCACGUGGUGGCUACUAUUGAUGAGACAAGUGGAACCAUAACAAAGAGAGAAGGGAGAAAGUGAAGUCAUAUAUGAUGGACAGAAAAGGCAGGUAAAAUUAAAAUAUAUUCAACUGUUCAAAGAAAAUUUAAACUUAACAUAUCCAUAGUGCAUACAAAUGUGUAUUCACAUCCAAAAAUAAAAUUCAAACUCGUAUUUAAAAAGAUUCAUACAAAAAUGAUAUUUUUUUUAGGUUCAAGUGCAAUAAAACACAAAAUUCCUGGUUUCGUCUUUAAGUACAAAUGAACCUCAUAUUUAUCAUUUUCGUUUGAACUUUUUUCUGGUUUAACUUCGUAACUCAACUUUUUUUUUUGGUGUCAGUACAUAUUUGUAUCCACCACCACAUUUUUUUGCUGAGGAACUAUAUGGGGGAUAAUGCUGCAGGUGGACGAAAGGGAUUCGGAGUCUGGGUUGUUGGCCAAACAGCACGCACGCACGAUUCAUGAGUCCGGACAAGGGAUAUGCCAUGGCGGAUUGGGGCGGCCAUGCGUCCGUGCACGCCGCUUUGGAGCGCAUGCCGGCUGACGUGUAGCAGAAUACGAUGCUGAACACACGCGCGGUUCAUGCCUGCACACCACCGCCACUACAUAAUAGGGAUCUGUCACACGGAAAAACAACAAUUUAAAUAAAAUAGCUUAAAUUCCAUUUUUGAAGGUAAUAACAAGAAAGACUAGCUGGGUAACCUGUUCAAGCCUAUGUAGAUAAAACAGAGUUUAUUGGAGGGUUUAGGGCUUGUUUAGAUGCAAAAUUUUUUUGGAUUUUGACACUGUAGCAAUUUCGUUUUUAUUUGACAAACAUUAUCCAAUCAUGGAGCAAAUAGGCUUAAAAGAUUCGUCUCGUGAUUUACAGGUAAACUGUGCAAUUAGUUAUCUUUUUUAUCUAUAUUUAAUGUUUCAUGUAUGUGCCGCAAGAUUCGAUGUGAUGGGGAAUCUUGUAAAGUUUUGGGUUUUUGGGUGUAUCUAAACAAGGCCUUAGCAUGCCUUGUUUAGUUCGCAAAAUUUUUCGUUUUUGGCCACUGUAGCACUUUCGUUUUUAUUUUAUAAACAUUCUCCAAUUACGGAGUAACUAGGCUCAAAAGAUUCAUCUCACAAAUUACAGAUAAACUGUGCAAUUAAUUUUUAUUUUUAUAUAUAUUUAAUGCUUCCUGCAUGCGACUAAAAAUUCGAUGUGAUAGGGAAUUUUGAAAAUUUUUUGCGAAGGCAUAAUCGUCGGAUGACUAGCUGAGCCCAUGUCGGUAGAAAGCAACGUCACUCCCCCGUGCUCUCUUCUGCCAUGACAAUCCGACACGCACGGUCGCACUGACCGACUGACGGUGCUUUUUUUUUUUACAUUCUCUCUUCAUCCGAGAUGAAAGCACCGGUAGUAGGAGUAGGAAGAGUAUCUCGGAUCUCUUUCCGAUGGAUUCUUGGGCCUUGUUUACUUUAUAUUUUUUUUACAAAACAGUAUUUUUAUUUAUAUUUGAUAAGUAUUGUCUUAUCAUAAAUCAAUUAAAUUUAAAAAAUUUAUCUCAUAAAUUAUAUAUAAAUUGUAUAAUUAAUUAAUUUUUAAUCUAUAUCUAAUGCUACAUAAUUUUAAAUCAUUUAGAAACAAGGCCAUGAUUUUUUGUCUUGCCACGGCAGGGUGGGGGAGGGAAGGUGCGGACCCCGCCAGAUCACGCAUCUGGACGGCAUGGGCGUCCAUGUUCGUCCUGGACCAGGACGUUAUUACAGUACUAGACUACUAGUCAAAUGCAGGUUGCCAGAUACUACGGAGUAUUGGUCCCGCGUAAAUUCUGGCGUAGCAGUGGUAAACCGUUGAUAAAAAGCAGAUGCCAGUACACAUGCGAUUUCCUGGUACCUUCUCUCAAUCAAAUCAAAGAAACAAACAAAAAGGAUUUUGGUGGUAUCCGUAUCAUAUCUCUCCUAUUAAGGCUUGUUUAGUUGUACCUAAAAUGAAAAUUCUUUUCAAAAUUUUUCAUCACAAUUGAAUAUUGGAGCACAUUAAAUAUAGAUAAAAAACUAAUUACAUAAUUUAUUUAUAAUUUACGAGACGACUCUUUUAAACUUAAUUAGUCUAUAAUUAGAUAAUAAUUAUUAAAUACAAACGAAAGUAUUAUAGUAUAAAAACUUUUCAACGCCUUAUCUCUCGUCUAGUCUGUAGAGAAUCAGAUCAGAGAGAUAAAAGAUUCCCGGUCAUCACUCCGGAGGUAUUGACCAUUUCAGAACCAUGUGUAGCAGGAAACACGAUCAUCCUAUCCUUUUCACAGAGAUAACUGUGGUUGAAAACUGUAUUAUGAAUUUGUGAUACACUAUGGCCUUGUUUAGUUCCGAAAAAAUUUCGGAUUUUGCUACCGUAGCACUUUCGUUUUUAUUUGACAAAUCUUAUCCAAUCAUAAACUAACUAGGACUAAAAGAUUCGUCUCGCGAUUUAUAAACAAACUGUUUUCGUCUAUAUUUAAUGCUUCAUGCAUGUGCCGCAAGAUUCGAUGUGACGGGAAAUUUUGAAAACUUUUUAGAUUUUAGGGUGAACUAAACAAGGCCUAUGGUUGAGACGGAAAAAAAAAAUAAUGCCACGAGAAUGGCACGGGUUGUCGACAGUUGGAGGACGUGGAGAUGGCAGGGCAGGUCAAGGAGGCCGGUGCAGUGUCGUGGCUCUUGCGGUGUGUGGGCAGGUCGAGCCUGCAUGUAGGGUUUCAUUCUAUUUCCAUGCUCGGGAGUUUUUUUUAUAUAUUGCAUAGGUAGGAGUUUUUUUAUCGAGGAAGGGUAUGGUUCUACCGGGUGCGGGAAUUUUUUUUACUGGGUGUUUUUAUGGAAGAUUUUUCUUGUUUCGGAAGAGAAUGAGUCGCUAGAUCAACGAUUGCUUUUGACGCUUUUUAUUCGUAGAAGAGAUAGCUAGAGAUGGAGAUACGUUAGCUCAUGGAAGAUGAUCGAGCCAUUAUUCCUGAGUGCAAGAAAUUUGGAAAAGCUGGAGAAAAUGAGAAAUAAAGGCAAAACUAUCGUUGUAUCAAGUUUCUCGUAACAAUACGAUGUACAUUGAAACAUUUAGUAAUCAUGUUGUUAUUUUCUGUUCUGGUUGCAAUGCACGAGAGCAUAAUCCUAAUCGCAGAAUAUAAAGACAAAACAAUCUGGUUAUUGCAGACCAAAGCAAGCGCACAUGAUAUGGCAUGGCACAUCGAUCAGGGCCGUACCUAAGAUUUGGAGGCCCCUGAACAAAAUAUAUAUUGGGGCCCUUAAAUUUGAGAAAAUCAAAUCGUACUUUCACUUAAUUAUAAAGCUAUAAAUUUAUUUGGGUCUUACAGAACUAAGAACAAAUUGAAUAUCUAAAAGAGUAUAAAAUAGUACUCAAGUAAUAAACAAGUAUCCUAACAGCUAGCAUAGCAGUCCGUGGCAUGAAAAAGCGAAAUGGUUUGAGCUUGUUUCAGUUUACUUCAGCCUAUUCUCUUUCACAGAAUGCUAUUAAAAUAACUGAAAUUAGCCGGCUCUUGUCAAAAAAAAAACUGGAAUUAUUAGCUGGCUUAUCAAUUAGCUGGACAAACCAUUACCAAGCAAACAAAUGGAUAUGGACAUUGGGGCUGCCUUAUGUUGUAUAGUUGAUCCAAUUAACAAACAAAGAAAUUGCAACAUGUAAACUCUUUUUAUAUGCUACAUUUUAUUUCUCUAUUUAAAAUAUUAUCUAUUAUUAGUUAGUUUUUAUUGUAAAUUUGGAGGCCCUGAGCAGUUGCACAUCUUGCACUUGCUAAUCUACGGCCCUGCAUCGAUUUCUUCCCAUUAGUAUUACGUGAAAGGCUGACAUGUUGGUAUAUUUUCGAUUCAACAGAUCAGUCUCUGGUCGAUCUGAUUAUUCGUGGAGCACGAUCUGAUCACUUUCACUAAUAAAUUAAAACUUAAAACUCAGUUCCUUGUCCUUGCAUUUAUGAUUGAGUGAUCAAUCUCAUAUAUUGUCUUGAAAACCCUACAGGAUCUGAACAAGGAGAAUGAACAAUUUGCAGGCAAUUCGGGGAUAUUGUUUGAUAAAUCAAAUCAAAUCAUGCACGUAUGUAUAGCAGCUGGAGUAAACGCAAAAAGUUCAUAUAUAUCAUAGAUAUAAUCGCAAUGCGUGAGGCACGAGCCAUUAAUCUAAUCUCCUUGCAGUCCCGUACUCCGAUCCCUGCCUGAGUAUAAAUACGGUUAUAUGGAAUCCCACUCUCUCGCCAAUCAGCUAGUAAGCAAUAGUAUAUAGCUCCUUCCACAAAUACUUCACUUUAUAGAUCAUGCCAAGUAAUGUCUAAUAAUUUAAAUUUGAACAUGUGUUAUACUCUUACUUAAAAACUAGUAUCCCCUCCGUACUCACAAGGAUUGUUAAGGCUUUGUCUAGUUUAGGAGUGAGAUGUUUCAUAGAAUGUCGGAAGAAUUAUUUGAAUAUUAAUAAAAAAAAUAAUUACAUAACUCGCCUGAAAACUGCGAUGAUGAAUUUAUUAAACCUAAAUAAUCUGUCAUUAGCACGUGUGGGUUACUGUAGUACUUAAGGCUAAUCAUGGACUAAUUAAGCUUAAAAGAUUUGUCUCACAAUUUCCAACCAAAUUAUGUAUUUAAUUUAUUUUUUAUAUAUUUAAUGCUCUAUGCACGUGUCCAAUAUUUAGUGGGAUGAGCGAAAACUUUUUGGGUGGAGAACUAAAUAAGGUCUAAAUAAAAAUAAAAGAUGCAACAUACAAUGGUUUUCUCAUCAUCGUUCUGCAGCACAUGCAUGCCUUUCGAGAUCGAAACUGCUAGCGCCCGGACGUCCGGCGCCAACAACGCGUCCGGACGCCGAGCUCCCCACCUGCGCCACAGAAAAGGAAAAAAAAAGAAAAUCCCAUCCACCCCUAACCAACUCACCUCUGCCCCACUCGUCCCGUCCGGAAGACCGUUCCUUGUCCGCUCCCUCCUAACCAACUUACCCCUGCUCCGCUCGCCCCGCACAGAGGACCGCCCCUUCGUCCGUUUCCCACGCAAGGAGCCCGUCCUCUGCCCCCACGAGCAUGGGAUCCGCCCAGCCCCUCGCUUUGUCGGCCCCUAGCAAAUCUACCUACCACUAACUCGUCCCUACAACCUGUCCCUGUACUUGGCGCUGUAACUCAAUAUGCAUAAUAGUGCAACAACACCUGACAUACUGCUACAACAAACAGGUUGAAGUAGCUGAAACAUCAUAAAUAUAGUAUUACAACAAACAACGAACAACUGCUGCAACAGCAUGCAAACAACUGCUACAACAUACAGAUUGAAGUAUUGGAUAGAAACAGCUGAAACACCAUAUGAACAUAGUAUUACAACAACAAAAAAUGACUGUUGCAACAACAUGUAACAACUAAUACAACAGCAUAGGUUGAAGCAUUGGAUGGAGCAACCGAAACACCUUAGACAUAGUAUUACAACAACAUCGACCAACUGUUGCAACAACAUGCAACAACGAAUACAACAGUGCAGAUUGAAGCAUUGGAUGGAGCAACUAAAACACCAUGGACAUAGUACAACAACAACACCGAACAACUAUUGUAACGACAUAAAACAAACUACUACAACAUGCAGAUUGAAGCAACUGAAACAACAUCUCAAAACACAAAACUGCAACAAUGACUAAAACCUACUGCAACGUCUAGAGAGAACCAUUGCAACAAUGACGAGAUCUGAACCCGAGAGCUCGUCGGAACCCUAUCCUACUGCAACAUCACCUGAAAAACAUACUGCAAAAAUCAAAGAACACCAUUACAACACGCGGGAGCACUGAAUCCCAAGAGCUCGCCGAAACCCUAGCCAACACAAUAUCUCAUAGAUCUAGAUCCAGAGGAAGAGGAGGAGGAGCAAGAGGUAGAAGAGGAGCAGAGGAGGGCUCAGAUCCAGAUCCACAAGAGGAGAGAGGGAAAAGGGAGAGAAAGGCUUUAGAUCCAAAUCCCUCCCCACCUACCUCGUCGGAGCCGCGUCGUUGUCUCCAUCUCCAGAUGCAUGGAGGUCACGAGAGCGAGGGAGAAAGAUCAGGGAGGAAGGGAGUUGCGUCGCACACUGGAAGCUGCCACCAUCGCGCUCUACUCCGGCGACAUGGAGGGCGUGUGGGUCGCAGCGGGGAGGGAGGGAUAAAAGGAGGGAGGAGCGGCUCGCCGAUGGCAUGGCAGAAGUGCAGACGCAUGGUGCGAGUGGUGGGAGUGGCACCAAGAUAUGAGAGAAGAGUGAGGAUGAAAUAAUGACUGGAUAAGAAGGCAUGGGGGAGCAGCAAAAUGAGUGGACAACAACGUCCGGACGGACGGACAACGUAUAUGUAUCAUUACCGUUUCGCGAUCCAAGGAUUUCCAGUGGCUGCAAACGCGCCGCUGCCUACAACAGUAAGAGGCACACAUCAUUUUAGAGUUUUGUCACUCUAGAGCUAACAGAUCAAACAAUAAUUUAUGAAAGCCAAUUAACCUCUGAAUUAGGAAACAAAAAGUAGCAAGGUAAAAAUAUGGCUCAAGGGAGAGGGAAGUUUUCGAGUGCUUGCUCUUGCGUAGCAAAGGGCACACUCACGCGUGUUGUGUGGGUCACCAAAUCGCAGCGGUGUCCUCGAAAUUACAAUUGGGACUGGAGUUGAGGGCGGAGUAGUUGCUAUGAACUCUGAUAUAGGUGUUGCUUUCCCAAGCCCGUUUGGUCGGGCUCCGGCUCCAGCUAAAACAGUUUUAAUUGUAGCUUCUACAAAGGAGUAGAUUCUUUAAAGAAGUUAGAGCUAUUUUAAGGAAACCUUUGGUAAAACAGCUUCGCCUUGUACCAAGAAAUGCCCAUAACGCCCUUCUCUUUUUUUCUUUCCUUUUUUAUUUCUCUUUUCUUUCUAUACUCUCUCUCAACCAUAUCGUAUUCUCUCUCUCCUCAUCUUCUCCCCAACAGCUCGCCUCCGCCUGGUUCCUGCAGGCCGCAGAACGCAAGGAAGAGCUGACGCUGUGCGCGAUGCUCGUGAGCCCGCAGUCCGGUGACCUCGCGCCUAGCGGCAUCGUAGUUUGGUGACCUCGCGCCUAGCAGCUCUGUAGUCUGGUGACCUCGCACCCGACGGUCACGUACUUCGGCGAGCCAAGCCCGGGCACAGCGUCGGUGACUGCACACUCGCCCGUCCUCCCCUUAUGCGCCUCCUUGACAUCGGGGGCAGACUCGACCUCUACACACUGGAUCCGCUUGUGUCUAAUCGAAGCUGGGUGAAGCUCCAUUUUCCAGCUUCACUUGCCACACUGUGCCUGUGUGAGCGCAAAACGCAGAGCUCCACUAGUGAAUCAGUUGAUUAAACAGGCGUUUGGGUGCAGGAGCUGAAAAACGACUCCCGGAGCCACGAUAGAACCAAACGACCCCUUGUUGGCCCUUGUGUGCGGCAUCUCCUCGGUGAGUCCUCGGUGCCGAUCACUGCUGACUUUGUCAUAUUGACAUGCUCCGUGCGUAGAGUUUAGCAUGCAGCCCACGAGCCGAAGACAUGGCCCAAAGCAUGAUGAUUUGACCUGGCCCGAGCAUAACAUGGCCCGGAUCCCAACCGUGCCCGUGCCGGCCCGAAGCACGUAGCGGGUCGUGCUUGGGCCGACCCCUCGGCUUGCCGGGCGGCACGGCCCGACCCGCUUUUAACAGCAGGCAUGAUGUUGACCCGGUAUCAGGAAACUUGUGAAACUGGAAGUAUCAAAUUCUAUGACUUCCGAAACUUGUGAUUUUUGACAUGUGAAAUAUGAUCUGUGAAGUAUAUUGUGUUAUGUGAAUUGUGAAGUAUCAAGGUCUGUGACUUGAAUGCGAUUUACUUAUGCUUUGUUGAAUUCUAUAUUAAAUCUGGUGUUUUUCAUAUACCGGGCCAUGGUCUGACCCGAUGGACUAUUGGGUCUCGUGCUCUUCGGGUCAGCCCGGCUCAAAAAUCGACCCACGUGUCGUGCCUGGGCUGUCAGGCAGGUACGGUGGCCUGUGAAGGCAUAAUCCGGUGGCAUGCGGGCCAUACAGACCGUGCCAUGCCGGGCCAGGUCGACCCAUUGCUCAACUUUAUCCGUGCGCAACCCCCUGGCCCUCGUAGACACUUUUACAAGGCAGACAAUUUUAACCAUUUUUGUUAAUAAAAACAACUGUCUCUAUGAAUCAUUAGACAUUUUACGAGACGGUUAAAUUGUGUAGUUAAUAAAAGGCAUUCGCCUCGCAAAAUUAUUCCUAUAAUAAUAUAUGCUGAGUUAUCUCUUGUGCCGUUGAAGUUGUUACUAAAUGUUUAUGUGCUACCUUGUAAGCUGGUAACCCAUCAACAGAUUGGGGUGUUCAUUACAUUUUUUUAAUGAAGGCAGGUGAAUGUCUUUGAUUAAAAAAAAGGUAAAUUCACGCAUGACAUACACGUGCAUCCAAAGUAAGCACAAGCGGUAAAGUUUAUAAUAUCUACUCGUUCUUAUGUGCUGCCGUGCCUGUUUAAUUAGACGAGAUAAUAUACCUACAGUGCUAGGCCCAUUGUGCUGCUUGCUGCAUUACCCGGGCCCAUUGUGUGCUGGACCAUAAUAUAUCAGUCAACAAAGCCCAACAGAUAAAGUUCACGCGCACAGUGGAUCCUCGCGAAUCUUCCGGUCCGAACGUUCGGACCGGAGCCUCCGUCCGAUGGUUCCCGCCCCUGUUUCCCGCCCCCGUUUCCCGCCCCCGUCCGACUUCUGUGGCGCGCUGGUCCUUUCUUCUGUGGGCCUGGACUGUUUCUUUUGUUCUCGCGGGCCUGGACUGUUUUUUGUCUUCUCGUGGGCCUGGACUAUUUUCCGCGUUUAUUAUUUUUGGGCCUACACUUCGUUUGACUGGUGGCUCUAUCUUCUCGUUUCCUCUCGACUGUUUCUUCUCGCGUCGGCGCUGGUCCAUUAUCUGUUGACUGUUUCCUCUCCCGUCGGCGGUGGCGAUUUCGCGUUUGCCUCUGACCGGCGUCGGCGGCGUUGGAGGCGGUCAGUUCCCUUUGUUCUCUCUCGGCGCCGGUGACUUCCCUUUGUUCUAUCUCGGCGGUGUUGGUUCAGCAUGCCCGUUGCUGUAUUUCUCUGGUGCUUGUUGUUCUCUUAGCUGUAAGUCGUUCUGGAUCUAUGUUUUUUCUUCCUGUUCUUCCUGCGAUUGAAUCCAUUUUUUUCAAUCAUGUAUCUGUUUAGAUUUAGUUUUUUCUAGUUGUUUGUUAAAAUGUUGUUUUUUUCAUAUUUGAUUUGAAACCCUAACUUAUUCUGUUGUACAAGAAAGUUAAGUUCGGCCAUGACUAACUUGUUUAUUAUAAUGUGUUAAUAACAUCUUCAACUCCUACCUGCUUAGUUGUUGGGGCAUUUCAAUUUUUACAAGAGAUUAGGAAGUGGCAAAUUUAUCAUAUUCACAAAUUUGGGACAUUUUAUUCAACUAUAGUUAUCCAUGAACUAGAAAAGAUAACUAUUUUUAUUCAAUACAAAUGUUCUGAUAUCCUAACUUUGAAAUUUAUAGUUUUAGUAUUAUUUUGAAUGUAAAGUGUAAACUGUUUUAAGUUUAUGUUUGUUGCAUACACUUAAGUAUAGCAGGUGAUGUUCUGUUUAUUAGUAGGUGAUGUUCUGUUUAUUAGUAGGUGAUGUUCCGUUCGUUAGUAGGUGAUGUUCUGUUGAUUAGCAGUUGAUGUUCUGUUUAUCAGGUGAUGUUAUGUUUGUUAGUAGGUGAUGAUCUGUUGUACAGUGUGAUGUUCUCUUAGUAAGCAUUUAGUGUACUGUUUUGGUUAUUAUGAUGUUCUGCUAUCAUAUUUCUUUUUGUUAUUUUAAUUAAUAAUUAAGUGAUAUUCUGUUAUGAUGUUUAUGAUUUUCUUUUAGUAACUAAAAAAUGUUUUUGCUUUGUUAUUAAUGUGUAGUACAAUAAUGGCUAAGCAAAAUCUUGUGAAGAUUCGUUGUUCAACAAGUCGGUUGAAGAAACUUUGUGAUGAUCUUUCAGAAAAACAAAAGUAUUUUGUUCGAGCUAAUGGAUUUGGUCACUUCUUGAACUUAUCUGUUUUCACAGUCCCUAUUCCUUUACUUGAAUGGGUUAUGAGGAAUUUUCAAGUUGGUGUUAAAGAGUUUCAGUAUGGUGAUAAACGUAUCAGAUUUACAAGAGCAAUGAUUCAGCAAGUAUUUGGUUUUAUUUGUGGUGAUACUCCAGUGAAUUUGGAAAAUGUUUCUGCAGAGUUGAUUGAGGAAGCACGAUUAGUUUCUGUUGAUUAUGUCAUUAAUGGCCGUAAACCAUCAAUUGCUGAAGCUGUGAGAUUGUGUUUAGCUGAAAACAAUGAAGAUGCUUUUAUGCGUUCUUUUAUGGUAGUGGCUCUAGGAACUUUGAUCUGUCCGAAUACUCAGAACUCUUUUGAUUUGAAUAUUCUUAGCUAUCUUAUGAGACCUGCAGAAAUAAGGAAUUAUGAUUGGGCUACUUUUGCAUUUGACUAUAUUAUACAAGAACUUCUACGCUUUCAAGAAAACAUUGCUUCUCAUGAUGUUCAUAUACGAAAUAACACUCAUUGUUAUGGCUCAUGCUUGCCAUUACUUGUGGUAAUUUCUUUUUUUAUAUUCUUGCUCGUUAUUUUUAUGUUUUUUUUACCUGAUUCUUAUGAAUUAAUUAUUUGUUUUUAGGUUGUCUAUAUGGAUUUUUUGGAUAUGAAUACAGAAUUUGGCAAUGCUCAUGUGAUAUCUUAUGCCUUACCCCGUUUCUGCCAUGUGAAAACUGAGGAUUUUUCUCUAGUUGUUGAUGCUGAUCAUGUUAGAUUUCCACUAUCUGAGAAUAGUGUAGAAUUUGGUGUUGUUCCGGUAAGUAAUAAUUUAUUAAUCAUGAGCUGUUUUUGUCUUUAUUAUUAUCUAAGGUUUUCUCUAUCUUUGAUUUUGUUUCACUUUUGUAGUUUCGAGAUAUUUCACACACACCAUAUCAUUUACCUCUUGAUAAAAUUGCUUCUAUAGCCAACUUGAUAAAGGCUCAUAAUCCUAUUGACAAUGAUAAUGAGACUGAUAUUUCAAUAAGUUCUGAACGGGAAGAAGCUUCUUCUGGUAAUAUGAAUUCCUAUGGAGCUAUUCGUUGUGAUGCUGCUUUUGAUGUAAGCAUUUUAUUUUACUGUAAAAUUCAUAUAGAGAAUAAGCACAUUUGUAUUAUUUGUCUAAUUGUUAUUUUUUUUGUAAAGGUUCCUAAUUGCAUUGAACCAUUAGUUCGGAAGCAUUAUGAGCAACUACUCUCUGAGGUCAAUUCUUUGGUUGUUGAUGGUCAAUCUACAUCAAUUACUGCUGAAGAAUGUUUGGGUUCGGUAUUUUCAAAAUGCUUGGCAUCUCUUUCUUCUGAUGUAUUUUAUUUUCGAUCAUCUUCCAAUGCUAUUACUUCUACAGAAGAGCAACAUACUUGUUCCAAGAGAACGGUACUUUUCAUUUUUAUGUAUAUUUUCUUUAUAGUUGUCAUGUUCUUGUUUGGUUUCAUUGAUGUUCUGUUAAUCUUUCAUCGUAGUUCCAUGUAUCUUUCAUAAUCUUUAGAAUUUGUAUUAUCUUUCAUAAAUGAAUUAUUACUUUGUUAAUGAUGUUGCCAACUUUUUCUUAUUCAAAGUUGAAGUUUUGACAUUUCUAGAACAUAAGUUCAGUACUUAACAUGUUCCUACAAGUUUUAAAUAUCACAACAUCAAGUUUUAAAUAAUUCAUGUUCUAUUCUAUUAUUAUUGUAUUAAGAUUAUUGAAAUCUGACUUCAGAAAUGUUGUUCUUUAAUUGUUGUCAGACACAUUUGGCAAAUAAGGCGCAAGACAAAUCUAUUGUUCAUGAAAUGCACACGCAUGAUUCUAAAGGUUCUGAGAAUGGAAAAUCUGAAUUUCAUGAAUCUACUUCAAAUAGUAAAGGUUUUUCAACUUCUACCAUUCUAGCAAAUAUAAUUGAAGUUUUAUGUGCUAUAGAAAAUGCAGUGUGUUAUGCUUAGGGUACUCAUAUGUAGUUGUUGUAUAAUCUUUUACUCCUUAAUUUAUUUGUUUUUAUAUUGUAGAUAUUCUAAAGCGGAAAUGUUCUAAUGUCAUUUAUAAGAGGAAGAAAAAGAAAGCAACUGCAGAAAUUCCUGAUGAUUCUAUUGUCAUUACAGCAGCUAGUUACAUCUCAAGUAUAUAUAAUAAAUAUAUUCGAGAUGACUUCAUGCAUGAUAAGGAUUUUCUUCAAUCGUAAGAUUCUUCUUAUAAGUAAUUACUUUCUAAUUCUUCUUUCUAUCUUUGGUCAAUGAUUUACUGAUUUAAAUUUUUUUAUAGAUCUCCUUUUGUUAUUAUUUCUGGCUUUCACUCAACAUAUGAAAACUUUCGUCAGUCGUUAAAGCCUAGAGGACACAUCAUUGAUGACGUGAUGGCUCUUUUUGGUGAAUCAAUUAAUAUCACUAGGAGCCAAUUAGCUGAACCCAGAAUUGAUAGGGCCAAGAUAUGUUUCUCCCCUUUCUUAGUUGUAAGUUCUGUUUGCUUAUUUAUAUUUUGUUAAUUAUGUACCAUAUAUUUUCUAAAUAUGUGUUUUAUAUAUUAAACUUUACAGCAAAAGCUUGUUCAAAGACCUCAAAAGUUUGAAGUUGAGUGUAUUCAUAAAGAAAUGUUACAGAUCAAUAACGAUUAUGACAUUGUUGAAGCUGAUCUUGUAUGUUAUAUUUCAUUCAUAGUCAUCAAAAGUUUCAAGUUGAGUUGUAAGAUUCUUAUUAUUCUAUGAAUUAAUAUUCUUUUCUUUAUAUUUUUUAUGCAGCUUUUUUUCCCAAUUUGCACUCAAGACCAUUGGUUCCUUCUCUGCGUUAAUUCACUACAAAAAGAGAUCAAUUUUUUCUCAUCUUCCAGUAUUCCUUGUGCUAAAGAUACAAAUUGUUUCAUAUCUAAUUUGGUGAAUUCCUUUUUCAUCAAUUAUUUAGUAGAACUCUUAUUAAUCUUCUAUGUUCUAACAGUUUCACAUAAAAACUUUUGUACUAAUAAAUUUUCAGGUUACAAAUUUCCAAACAAGUUGCAAAGAAUGUAAAAUAUUUGAUAGGGCAUUACUUCAGUAUGACAAGAAGAUCAUUGAUUGCCCUCAACAGUCUAAUAAGUAAUGGAUUACCUAUAUUAAUUCUGUAUAUGAGAAUGUUUUAAAUUAGUAUAAUAUAAUUUGAUUUUCUGUUCAUUUUUUUGUAGUUUCGACUGUGGCCUCUAUGUGAUGAUGUUCAUUGAACAUUUUGAUGGCAUCUCUCUCAAGAAAUUCAAGCCAGUAAGUUAUCAGCUCUACAUUUGAAUUUAAAUUUCUUCUCUUUCAACCAUUUUUCAUAUAUUCUGUUGUAAAUAAAGAAAAUUUAAAAACAAGUUUAAAAUUAAAUUUUAUUAUUGUUUUAUUUUCUAAUGUUUUCUUUUACAAUUUAACAGAGUGAUGUUGCUGAGUUUCGGAAGGUCGUUUCUUAUAAACUGAUGAACCAUGUAAACAAUGAAGGUGUAAUUCCAAAUAUGAAGGCUGAGAAGAUGUUUUUAAUAGACUGAUGUUCCAGAGUUCCCUGGAACCUGCUCUUAGUGUUUUUUGUACCAGAAUUGUUCUAAUUAUUACCACUUCACUGUGAUGUUCAAAUGUAACAUACAUGAUGUUCAGACGUACUGUGUUUGACAUUUUCUGUAACGAGCACUGAUCUUCUGACAAUUGUGAUAUUCUCUUUUGAAAAUUUGCUCAAGAGAAAUGUUGUUUCAUAUAUCUGUGAUGUUUCUGCACACGCUUUUGAUAUAUUUUGUAGUUCGACAGACUAUAAGACAAAUAUAAUGUUCACGAUAUUCAAAAUACAUGUUCUAUUGUAUAUAAUUCCAAGUUAUAACUUUAUAUAGUAUGUAGAAUUUCUUUAUAAAAUAAUAUUUUUAAUUCUUCCUAAUUUUUUAUUUGAAGUUGGUACUGUUUUAAAAAAUAAAAUAUAUUUUCAUUGUUAUGCACAUUCAAAAAGUAAAAUAUAUUUUCAUUGUUAUGCUAACACUUUCUUGUGGCCUCAAAAAGUUUUUUCAAAAUAUCAAAAUUAUUGUUUUUCAAUAUAUAUUUUGCUUUUUUUGUUGACCUAAUUUCUUGUAUUGAUUUUUAUCAAAACGGAACUUAGAAAUGUCCUAUUUUCCUCUGCGGGCCCAUUUUUCUACCGGCCCAUUUGCUAGCCCAUUUGUGCUCUUUCUUCCCCACUCCACCAGGACCGUAACGGAGUGGCGGUUCUUUCUUUUUUCUGAGUACUUAUCUGUUUCAUCUAUUACUCUUCAUUUCUCAAAAACCACUAUGUUGUGUUCCUGAGGGACGGCGGUUCUGGAGUGCGGCGGUGAGCGGUGGUUCUGGACCGCUGCCCCUCCGGCGGUUCUCGAGUGGGGCGGUGAGCCGUGGUUCGACGCCUGUUCUGAAUCGCCGUCGAAGCAUUGGUUUGUGCGCCGCCUUUUCGCCUUUUUUUAUCAGUCGUUUUCUCCCCACCAUUGAUUCGGCGACUGAGCGGUAGUGCACCGGCUCCAUUGAUUCUCUACCCGUUCUUCUCCAGAUCCAGGUCCGAAUCGCUGAAGAACGAGGAGGACAACUCUGUAGAGUUGAAGGUGAGCAAUGGCGACUUGUAUUAAUUAUUUUCUUUUUUUCUCAAUUCCAGUCACGAUCUUUAUAUUGACUAAAAUUCAGAAUUCUUUAUAUUGAUUUGUAUUAUUUUGUCCAUUCCCUGAUUCUUUUAGAAUAUUGCUCUUAUUCAUUUUGUUAUAGAAAACUAUACUCCAGAGUUGUAUGUUCCAAUGUUGUUUUAGAGUGAAAUUUAUUAUGUAAUUUUCAGACUUGGUAACAUAUUGCAAUUGUAAAUUUAGAACUUGAGUUCCUUCUAACAUAUUAGAAUAACGUCACUGAAAUAUAUUAAUAUUUCUUUGUUCUCACAAAUCUAAUCUAGUGUUCAACUAUAUUGUACAUUAUGUCCUCUGUCAUAUUCUUCAGUAUUCUCUUUUUAGUUUAAAGAAUGAUUUCAUGAGUUUUAGUCAUACAAUAUAGAUCUGAUAUGCAGCUACGUUCUGAUGGAUGUUCUCUGUAUUGUUGUCUUUUUUUUUUCUUUUUAUUUCCUAUGUGCUUUCUUUUCUUUGUUCUAUCAAUAUCAAUGUCAUGUUCCAGUACUUUAUACUUAAUGUUCUUUUACACAAUCUGUGGUUAAACUUGUAGUCAAAAUGGCAAGACAAGAUCGUGUCAAGAUUCGUUUUUCAACAAAACGAUUACAGAAUCUUUGUGAAAAACUCAAUGAAGAUCAAAAGAAUUUUGUCAGAGCUCAUGGUUUUGAGAAUUUCCUGAAUUUAUCAAUUUUCACGGUUCCUAUACCUUUGCUAGAAUGGAUUAUGAUUCACUUUCAGUGUGGAGUUAAGGAAUUCCAGUAUAGGGGUAAGACAAUCAGGUUCACAAAACAAAUGGUUGAACAAGUUAUUGGUUUUACUUCUGGUGAUAUUACAGUUGAUCUGAGCAAUGUUCCUCCUGACCAAAUAGAGGAAGCUAAGGCUUAUAAAGUUGACUAUGUGAUUGGGAACAGUAAACCAUCUAUUGCUGAGGCUAUUAAGUUGUGUCUUGCUGAGCAGAAUGAAGAGGCAUUCAUGCGUUCCUUUAUGAUUGUUGCUCUUGCAACUAUAGUUUGUCCAAAUACUCAAAAUUCCUUUGAUUUGAAUCUUUUGAGUUAUCUUAUGAGACCUGAACAGAUCAGGCACUAUGAUUGGGCUUCGUUUUGUUUUGACUACAUCAUAGAAGAAGUUGAUCGUUUCCAACGAAACAUAUCAUCCUCUGAAACUCAUAUACGCAAUGGGACACAUUGUUAUGGAUCUUGCUUGCCUCUGCUUGCGGUAAUUAUUUUUCAUACUUUGUUAUAAACUUUUGCCAAUAUGAAUGAAAAUAGUACAUGAUUAGAGCUCUUUUAUUUGUUACUAAUGCAUUUGACUGUUUUUUAUCAAAUUAUUAGGUUGUGUAUAUGGACUUUCUCGAUUUGAAUACAGGAUUUGCCAAUCAUCAUGUUAUAUCUUAUGAUCUACCCAGAUUCUGCCAUGUCAAAACUGAAGAUUUCUUAUAUAUUGUUGAUGCUGAUCAUGUUCGUUAUCCAGCAUCUGAUCAUAUGAAGUUUGGAAUUGUACCAGUAUGUUUGCAUUCUUUGUAUGAUUUUUUUUCUUAGUUUGUAUUUUUUUCAAUUUUCUAUAUAUUAAGGACUUAUUCAAGUUAUUCGGUUUUUUGUAGUUUCGGCAUUUCAAUGACACACCAUAUCAUGUAGUUGUGGAUGAUAUUGGUGGUGGAGGCAAUUUCAAUGAUCAAGCAGAUGAUCCUAGAGAUAACUUCAAUGAGCAAAUACACCAUGAUAUUCAGCUUUCUUCAAAUGAUGAACUACCAACAAGUUCUUCUCAUGGCUCUCCUAUUCCUCCUGUUGCUACCCUUGAUGUAAGAUUUCAAUUUAUAAUAAUUCUUUUAAAGUAACAAGAUCAUAAUUGUUUAGUAUUUAAUUUAUCGCUUUUUUACUUUUUUAUUCUAGGUUCCUCCAUGUAUUGAACCUAUAGUUCGCAACCAUUAUGAGCAAUUACUCUCUGAAGUAACUUCUGCACUUCUUAUUGCUGAAUCUUCAUCAGUUUCCCUACCAGAAGUUUUGGUUCCAGUCUUUUCUAAAUGUUUGACAUCACUCUCUUGUGAUGUAUUCAAAUUUGCAUCAUGUUCUACUGUUACUACAAAUAUCCCAGAAGAACCCAUUUCUACUUGUGCACAUGAUCAGGUAUAUUUAUUUUUAUUCAUGUCAUUUACAAUACAUAUUGAUAUGUAUGUACACUUGUAAUAUUUCAAAUCUUUUUUUUUAUUUUUCUAUAUUAUGGUAGGUUAUCCUGUUUAAAAAUAUAGUUUUCUAACUAUCAACAUUUUUAUAUUGAAUUAUUGCUGUUUUCAAACUUUGUACAGUAUGUUCAAAUAGUUAAGAUAUGAUCUUCUCUGUUAUAUUAUUUGAUAUUCUCUUUUAUACUAUUAAAUGUUCUUUUAACACAAACAAAAUAUUACUUUUGCUAAUGUUUGCAGACCACUUUUGAAACAACUGUGGCUGAGAAAUCUAUUGAUUCUACUCAAUCUGAUCCAAGGCCUCUUCAACCUAUAAAGGUUCUCUAUUUUCUCUAUGCUACAUUUUUUUUUAUAACUCAUGCUUACAUGUUUUCAAUUAUAAUAUGUAUUUCUAUUCAUAUCAUUGCCAGAACAAUGAGAAAAAUAAAGGAGGUUCUAAUGUUCAAGAAAACAUGGAUGAUGACUCGCGAAACAAACUGCAAGACUCUGAAAGGAAAGAUACUUAUUCAAAUACUAUUCAUGAUCCAUUGCCUAAUGUAUCUAUCAAUGUUCCUAGUUCAUUGGAAGCUUUAAAGGUAUAUAUUUUAAUUUGUUGUUCAACAAAUAGUUUUCCUAAACGAAUAUACUCUUUAAUUACUAUUCAGAAUGUUUAAUCAUGUUCAUGUUUCAUUUCUUUGUGGUUCUUAGAUAAUGUUCUAGUAUAAUAUAACCUGAUGUUCUUAUACAUUGAAGCUCAUGUUCUACUGUGUUAUUUUUGUUGUUCUUCGAUUCCAAUAUCAACUGCACUCUUGUGUUUUACAGUUGCUACUAUAGAUUUGAACUUAGUUUUAGUAAAUUUAUUUUUGUAUAACGUUUUCAACAAUUAUUAUUUUGAUAAACCUAAUUUCACUCUUAUUUAAUAUCCUAGACUGAUUUGGAAACCAAAGAAGCUGAGAUAUCUCAAGAUUGCUCUGAAUCUCAACAACCUUGUCUUGGUGCUACAAUGGUAUCUCAUCUUCUCAUACUCUCACAUAUGAUGUUUUAUUUUUUAUUUCAUUUUUCUUGAUAUAUUUUUCAAUGGUCUUGUUUUUUCAUUGAAGGGUAUUGUGAAAAAUUAAAUGUUCACCUUUUUAAUAUCUAAUGUUUUUAUAUUAAUAUAUAAUUUUGUACUAUAGCCAAUUGUUAAUUUUAAAUGAAUCUAUUUCUAACUAUGUUUUGUUCUAUUUCAUUCUUAGAACAUUGAUAAUGUGGCAUUUAAUCUUGGUUCAUUUUCUAUUGGUGAUGCUGGUUCUCAAGUAUCACACAAUCUUCCUCAAACUUGUCCAAAUACUGCUACCAUUGUGCUAUAUUUUAUAAUUUUUUUAUUAUGCAAGCAUAUUUUCUUUUCUAAGUUUUUUACUUUGUUAAAUCAUAUUGUUUGUUUUGCUUAAAUGAUAAUGUUUGCUUCAAAGGUAGACCCUUUUUCAUAGAAAAAAUAUUUUUCAAUAUUUCUUUUUCUUGAUGUCAUUUACAGUACAUAUUGAUAUGUAUGUACACUUCUAAUAUUUCAAAUCUGCAACACAUUUUUUUAUUUCUCUAUAUUAUGUUACGUUGUGCUAUUAAAAAUAUAGUUUUUUUUAACUAUCAACAUUUUUAUAUUGAAUUAUUGCUGUUUUCAAACUUUGUACAGUAUGUUCAAAUAGUUAAGAUAUGAUGUUCUCUGUUAUAUUAAUUGAUAUUCUCUUUUAUAAUGUUGUAUGUUCUCUUAACACAAACAAAAUAUUACUUUUGCUAAUGUUUGCAGACCAUUUUUGAAACAACUGUGGCUGACAAAUCUAUUGAUUCUACUCAAUCUGAUCCAAGGCCUCUUCAACCUAUAAAGGUGCUCUAUUUUCUCUAUGCUACAGUUUUUUUUAUAACUCAUACUUACAUGUUUUCAAUUAUAAUAAGUAUGUCUAUUCAUAUCAUUGCCAGAACAAUGAGAAAAAUAAAGGAGAUUCUAAUGUUCAAGAAAACAUGGAUGAUGACUCACAAAACAAACUGCAAGACUCUAAAAGCAAAGAUUCUUAUUCAAAUACUAUUCAUGAUCCAUUGGCUAAUGUAUCUAUGAAUGUUCCUAGUUCUUUGGAAGCUUUAAAGGUAUAUAUUAUAAUUUGUUGUUCAACAAAUAGUUUUCCUAAACGAAUAUACUCUUUCAUAUCUUUCUGAUUCUUAGAUAAUGUUCUAGUAUACUAGAACCUAAUGUUCUUAUACAUUGAAUCUCAUGUUCUACUGUGUUAUUAUUGUUGUUCUUUGACUUAUUCUUGAUAUGAAAGAGUAUAUUUAAUCAGUUUCUCUUAGUAGUGGAAAGGUAUAUACUUUUUUUGUAUCCAAUUUUUGAGUCAUAGGAAUCUCUUUCAUGACAGCAAUUUUGUCAUUUUGUUUUGCUCUUAUUACUAGAACAAUGAAAAUGAUAUAGAUGAUGUGAAUCUUGAAGAUUCGACAAAGGAAACUAGUCAAUCUGAUGACUCUACUUCUACAAAAGACAAAGGUUGUUCUACUGGUACUGUACUAGGAAAUAUUGAUGCAGCUUUAGCUGGUAUUACAAUAGCGAUGUCUUUUGCUGAGAAUACUCCUGUUAAGUCUGUAGAUUCUUUGCAUUCUCAAAAGUCUGAGUCUCCAGUAUCUGGUAAAUAUUCCUUGUUUCUACAAUUUUUUCAGUGUUGUUUUAAAUUUUGAUUCCAAUGCUACUUUUUCAUAAUUUUUUGUUUCAGUUUGCAAGUAUCCAGUUUGCAAGUUUAUACUUGAAUUGUCAUUUCUACAACGACAAUUGAAUGUUAAUUUUAUUCAUGUUGUUUUUUCAUAAUUUAUGAUCUCUUAUCACUAAUACCAAGAAUUUUAUUUUUUCUUAUUCUAGUGUCUAAGAAGCGUACUCGAUCUAGCAUUAUUGACAAGAAAAAAAGGAAGAAACGAGCUGCUAUAAUGUUAGACAAUUCAAUUACAAUAAAAGCAGCUCGCUAUGUCUCAACUACUUAUAGUAAAUACAUUCGAAGCAAUUUUAUGCAAGGCAAGGAUAUUGCAGAAUCGUAAGUAACUUGUUUUCUAAAAAUCAUUUAUUCAUAUAUCUUUCCAUUUGUUCUUUCAUGUUUUUAUUUUAUUCUUUGAUAUGUUUAAUUUUUUUGUGCAGAGCUGCUUUUGUUAUAAUAUCUGGUUUCCACUGCACAUACGAAGCUCUAAGAAAUUCGUUGAAGCCUAGAGGUCAUAUAAUUGAUGAUGUGAUGUCUGUCUUCGGACAGUCAUUUAAUAUGAGCAGUAAAUCAUCUAGUGAUAGCAGAAUCUCUAGGACUAAGAUAUGUUUUUCUCCAUUCUUAGGGGUAAGUUUUCCUUCUUUUUUUAAACAUAUAACUAAUAAAGUUUUGUUUUUUUUUUGUGCUGGCUUAUUCAUUUUAUCUACUAACUUUUCAGAAAAAGUUUCUUGAAACUCCUGAAAACUUUGAUCCUCAACGUUUCAAAAGAGAACUUCUGCGAAUGAAUAAGGAUUACGAUAUUGUGAAAGCUAAUCUUGUAUGUUAAACUAUGAUUGGUACUUGUAUUUUUUUUCUAUUUUUACUUCUUUUGAAAUUUCCUUCAAUUCUUUUUUUUGCAGCUGUUUUUCCCAAUAUGUGAUGAUGAUCAUUGGUUUCUUAUUUGUGUUAACUUACUACACAAGGAAAUCAACUUUUUUUCAUCUACUAAUUCUCCAACUACUGAUGCUAGAGAUACUUUCAUUACAAAUGUGGUAUAAUUCUUUUGUUGUCCUUAACUAUUAUAAAUAUAUUUAUAUUGUUCUUUCUUUUCCUGUGUCAUUGUUCUUAACUAUUAUUAUUAUUUUGUGUAAGGUUUCAAAUCUGCAAAGAAGUUGUCAGGUAGCUGAUAUAUUUGACAGGCCAUUAGUUGACUAUUUGAAGAAAUUUCCUCAAUGUUCUCAACAGUGUAACAAGUAAUUUUUUAUUAAUAUCACUUUACUUUGGAUUAUAUAAAGUUUACUAUAUUAUAAUUGUUUUUUAAUUUUUUCUUUCAGUUAUGACUGUGGCCUUUAUGUAAUGAUGUUUAUUGAACAUUUUGAUGGUAGAGUUCUGAAGAAAUUUAAGAAUGUAUGUUUCCCUACCUCUUCUUUUAUUCUCUUAGUAUUAUUUUAAGAAAUUAAGAAUUUAAGAAUCUUGUUAUUAUCACUGUUGUUAUACUUACUCUAAUAUAGUCUAAUAAUUCUUUUGUUGAUUUUUUUGAUAGGCUGAUGUUGCUGAGUUCCGCAAGAUCAUUUCACAUAGACUGAUCUAUCAUGAGAGCAAUGAAGUUCAAAUUAGUCAAUUUGAUACAUAGAUUAAUCUUCCAAUACUAUUAUCUAGAGGACACAAUUGCUGUAAUUAUUCAUACUUUCAUCUGUUUUGUGUCUGUUACACAAGACAUAGUGAAUGUUCCUAAUUUAAACGUUCCAUGUUAUCACGGUCUAGUUACACUUCUUUAGUCCUAAGCAUUGAUGUUCUGUGCAACCAGUUCUAAUGUUCUGAAUAUACAUAUCUGAUGUUCUGCCAGUUGAGAUGUUUUGUCAUGAGAAAUGCGUUGAGUUUUUUAUAUAUUAAACUACUUCUUAAAUCAGCGAAAUCAUAUUUUGUUCUCAUAUUAUGAUCAAAUUUGUAUUCAAUAUAGAUAAUAUCAACUUUGUUGAAUAAGAUACGAUCAGAAGUCAAUAUUUAAUACGUUUGCAAAAUAUAUGUACCACUUUCGUCCCUUCUUCUAAACAUUUUUUUUAAUAUUCUGUUUUCAAGUUUGUAAUGUUCUAGUUUGCUAAACGUAAUCUUCUAAAGACAUAAUCUUCCAGACCCAAAAGUUUUACAAAAUUAAUAUCAUUUGUAUAUAAAUAAAUGUAUCUUCAAAUUAAAUUUUGUGUAUAGUUUUUACUAGUAUAUUAUAUUUACCUCUUCUUCAAUAUUUUGAAGCACGAAUUUUUCAUAAUUUCAUAAUUACUAAUUCAUUGAUUGCACCUAUGUAACAAGUAAUACUCUAAUACUAAUUAAUUUCUGAGAGCAUGAAGUUUUCUUUGUUAGAACAUUAUAAUCUAACAUCAUAAUACCAUUGAAUAAAAUUGUAUUUUGACAAAAUUACCCCUAUGUUCUGUCUUUCUUAGCCAUUCAUUUUGGCAAAGGUUCUCGGCUCUUUCAUAUACUCGUAUACGGCGAGGGGUGAGAGAAGAACUGUUCGAAGCAACGCGAAUGCGGAAGCUCUGUUCGUACUAUACGUUCGCUAGAGAACUCUAGACGCGCCCUCUACUGUUUGUCCUGCCGCCACUGCAGGUGAUUCUUUCAGUGUUUCUGUUUCUAUUCUCCAAGAUUUAGGGUUUCUCCGGCGCCUUUUGUCUUUGUUGUUUCUUAGGGGUUCUUCAUUUAAAUCAGAAAGAUUUCUAUUCCAUGGAUCCGCCAGCUCUAUUUGUAUUUAUGGAUUUCUAUUCAUGGAUUUCUAUUACUGGAUCCUUAGAUCCAUUCUGUUUCAAUUCUUAUGAACUUCGUCUUCUACAAAUUUUGAUUUUUCUAUAAUUUUGUUCCGUUGCUGGUUUUAUGAGUCUUAUCCUUUGCACGACAGCUGGUGAUAAUCAAAUCUUUUAUCUUUCUCAUGCAAUUUUGAUGUCACAAUAUGUGGACAUGGGUAAUACUCAAUAUACCCUGGGUUAGUUAUAGCUUUUUUUAGAUGUUUAUUUUGCCAAAUUGUAAAUUUUGUACUCCUUUACAGUAUUUGAUCCCACAAAAGUCAUGAUCUGAAUGUUUUACCAAUUCACAAAAUAAAAAUUGUGAUUUCAGAAAUACUUAUUUAGCUUAGUUUUUUUUGUUUAAUUAUACAACACUAUUAAUGGUUUUUUGCCUUUUCUUUGCUAUGCACAAAGUAUCCUAAAUUCUUUCAGCAUAAUUAUUUUUAGUUGCACAUGAGGAGCUUAACUUAUUGAGGUCUAAUUAUAUUUUUUUUGCUCAAUUUAUUAGAUAUGAAUAUUGCUGAUAAUCAUGGUGGAAUUAUAAUUCAGAAUUAUUUCAACUCACAUGUACUCAAUGAUGUUGUUAAUUCUCUAAGUAAUAUUCAGAGACAUUAUAUUGUGAAACAUGGAUUUGAAAGCUUCUUGAGCAUCAAUUCUUUUGAUGUCCCUCUGGGCCUUGUUCAAUGGAUUAUUCAGCAUAUACAUAUUCCCUCUUUUCAAUUCCAGCAUAUGAAGAAAAAAAUUCAGAUUACUGCUUCUAUGGUCAAUCAUAUUUUUGGUUUCCCAUCUGAAAAAAUGUCUGUUUCCACUACCAUUAGUAAAGAUUCAUCAAGUUCUAUCAAGAUCCUUAAACAGCAAUAUAUUGCUAAUGGAAUGACAACAAGGCAAGGACUUAUAGAUACUCUACUUCAUAAUGAAGAUGAAGUUUCGUUCAUUCAACAAUUUGUUAUGCUCUCAAUUGAUACAGUCCUAUGUCCUGGACUGCAAAAUCAUCUUAAUCUGGACUAUCUUUGUUGUGUUGCUGAUAUAUCCAAAAUCAAAUCCUUCAAUUGGAAUUCUCAUGUGUUACAUUACUUGGGAUUAGAAAUUCUAAAAUUUCAGGCAUAUAUUGAUUCAUAUUCUGCUGGAUAUCCUUCAACUAAAAUCAAUGUUUGUGGUUGUGUUCCUCUUUUAGCAGUAAGUAACUUUCUUUUUGUUUGAACUAUUUUUUCUUUUUUCAUAUUAUGUUUCAUCAUCUAAUUAUUUCCCCCCUUUUUAGAUUGUAUAUAUGGAUUUCUUAGAGAUCAAUUUAAGUGAUUCAGGUUAUGCUCUUUCAUAUGGACUUCCUAGAGCUUCAUAUGUUUCAACAGAAGAUUUCAGUUUAAUUUUGUCUAUUGAUCGAAAUGAAGCAUACCAAUCACAUGAAGUUUAUGGAUUAUCAAAGGUUUUAUGCAUUUUUUUUUGUAUUUUCUCUUUUGUUGUUCUGCUACUAUACAUUACAUGUUCUGUGGUAUUGUUUUUGUUGUUCACUUCUCUAUUUGUUGAAUAUCUCAUUGGAAAGUUUUGAUUCUUUAUUUUCAGUUGCUCCCAGUAUCAUUGACUCCUUACUGCUCAAUUACAAAUAUAUCAAGCAAAACAAAGAAUGAUCUUGUAAGCUCUCAUGUACUAUUACAACCUAUUGAAAUAUAGUUUGUACCUAAUUAUAUUCUUAUUAAUUCUAUAUCUUCUCAGGUUACAAAAACUAUUGGAUAUUAUUCUGUUGCUUUUAAGGCUAGAAAGAACAAGUUUAUAUCAGAUCAUUGCAUAUCUACAAUGCUCAGCAUAAGUGAUGAUGUUGAGCACUUAUACAGAACAUAUGUGUCGAACAACCUUGAGAAAAAUCAUUUGGAUAAAUCGUAUGCAAUCUCUUAUUUCUUCUUUAGCAAUUGUUUUUUCUAUAUUCAAAUCUUUUAUCUUCUUACUGUUUCAUUAUCUUCAAUUUUCUGCAGCUAUGUAUUUCUUUCAAUAUUUGGAUUCGAUUGCGUAUACCAGAGGUUUAGGGAUUCACUUAGGCCUUCUGGAGAAGUGUAUGAUGACUUCAUGGCAAUAUUUGUGCAACUGUUUAAUUCUUCGUACUUGGAUGUUAUUGCCUGUCAUAUGCCUUUGAAAAAAAUCAUAUUACAACCUUUUUUAGUUGUAAGUUGUUUUCUCAUUUUUCUUUUAAAUGCAAAUAAUAUUGUUGAAAUGAAAUUCUCAAAUGUAAUUAUUUUGUAGUACAAGUUUCUUGGCAUUCUUGAAUCAAGAUUCACUCCUGAUACUGUUGAAGCAGAACUCUAUAGAAUUCAUUCAGAUCUUGAUUUCUCCAAAUGUGACAUGGUAUGUUCAUUCUAAUAAAAAAGUUGUUUUUUUACAUCUUUUUUGUGUUAUAAUUUUUGUUUUUCUUAAAACAAUUGCAGUUCUUCUUCCCAGCAUAUAUAAAUUAUGGUUGGUGUGUUCUAUGUGUUGAUGUAUUAUCGAAGAGUAUUAUUCUUUAUGAUCCAUCUGGAGAAAAUAAAGUAGAUCAAAAGAAUUCAAUCAUCAAUGAAAUGGUACUCUAUGAACUCCUAAUGAUGUUUAUUGUACUAUAGUUUCCUUUUUCAUAUUUUAUUCUAUAUUCAUUUCUAGGUUGCCAAAUUUGAACAUCAUUGUAAAGCUGCUGAUAUUCUUGAUGCACAAUUUACAACUUUCAAGAUUUUGCAUCCAGAACUGCCAAUAGCAUCUUCAAGAACGUAAGAAAGCUAACAAAUAUUUUGUAGUUUAAAAAAAUUUACAUUAUUAUUGUUUUCUAACAAUUUUAUGUCAGUCAUGAAACAGGAAUUUUUGUAAUGCUAUUUAUGGAGCUUUAUGAUGGAAAGCAAUUGAGGAAGAUAGAUCAUGUACAGUUUCAAACAUAUUAUAUUAUAUUUUUCAUGUAUUCAUAUACAUUUUCUCAUAUAACAGAUAGAACAUAUAACUAUUUUAUUAUGUUAUGUUUCUUCUUAAUCUGCAGACAAUUGCAUUACAAUAUAGAAAGUUGCUGGCUUACAGUGCUGUAACAUGUCCAUUCAAUGUUGUUGAUUGUUCAAGUUUCCUUAUCAAAACAGAUAGUGAUGGAAUUUAGAAGCUUAAUUUAUAUGAUCUCGUAAGUAAUUUUAUUUUGUUUCCUGGACCUCAACUUCGUAAGCUUAAUUUGUAUAUUUGAUGUUCUUUUUUUUUGUAAGUAAUUUUAACAAAUAUUUGGCUAUUCAAUAUAAUUUCUUUUGACCUUUUGAAUGUUUUGUAUAUUGCCAUGUUUCUGCUUUACUAAAUAUGCUGUAUUAUUAACUACAUAAAGUUCUGUACCUUAUUUCUAUUUGUUCUAUAUUUGAAAUUUCUAUUGUUCUGCUUUACAAAAAUUGAUGUUCUGAUGCUAUUAAGCUGUUGUCCAUUACCUUUUGAAUAUUGGAUCUUUUACUGAAUUUUGCUUUAAAUUUUCUGUAUUGAUUCUCUGAUUGUUUAUUUGCUAUUUCAGAAUUUGUCUUCAUAAAGAUUCAGCAGGAACUAUAUUCAUGAUGUCCAGAUUUGGCAAGCUUCGUAAUGAGAAGACACGUUCAUCUACUACAGCCUAAAUUAUUCAACUAUAGAUUUCUAAAAAAAUUUCAACAAUUGUAUGUCUCUUAAUAAGAAUGAUACGUGUAAUGAUAUUUUUCGCUAUGUUCCCUAUAUUUCAUCAUUUCUAGAUUUAUAAAAUGAGAUUUCACUAUGUUCCAAUCUUAAUACUGCGAUGUUCUACUCUUAAUAACGUGAUGUUCUGGCACUACAUACAUGAUGUUCUUCAUUUCCAAAUAUUUUUUACAUACGAAUAAAAUUAUUAUAUUUUCUACGUACAAAUAAAAUUAUUUGUUUUAUUUUAUUAAAUUAAUAUUUUAUUUGUUACAAUAAAUAUUUGAAUAAACCAUAAUAAAUGAAAUGAGUUGAAUUGGGCCCAUUUUCUCUAAGGCCCAAAAAAAAUAUUUUAGGAAAAACAUGCAUGCCCAAAUUGUUUUUUUCUAAAAAAACUGAGUAACUUUUAUUUAUUUUCGCGUCAAACUUUCAACCGGCACUCUUGUACUGGCAACUGCUACUUCGAUGAGAAACGUGGGUUCCUUUUCGUGUCGUAGUUGGUUAUAUAUAUCAGGCAAGCGCCACUUCGCGUAUCCCAUUUGCCAAGGCUACGGUUGUUGAAGUGACCUUCAUAUCGAUCAGUGGAUUUGUCCAUUCUUCUCUUUCUUUCUACUUCUUCUGAAAGUUGUAAGUAUUCUCCACGUGAUUUGCAUCUUUGUUUGUCUCAUGUUUUUUCUUAUAUUAGUCAUCUUUGAUUUGAAAAGUUUUAAUUUGGAUGAACAUCUACAUGCUAAAAGUACUACCACGUCCAAGAUUAGGUUGCAAAUUUGCAAUUCACAUCAAUCUUGCUUUUCUUUUAUGUAAUUUUUAACCCCAGUUCAUGUAUGGUUACGUUUAUAUUCAUCAAAGUUUAUUUUCUUUUCUUUUCAGUUUGUUUUUUCUGAGUUGCUACCAUAAUUUCGACGUUCCAGACCAUGACAAUGUGAACUUUUCUUGAUUAAAACAAAUCACUUCCAACAAAAUUUGUCUUUUUCUUGGUCCUUGUUCGUUCCAAUAGUUACAGAUUAAAAUUUACAUGGAGAAUUCCUCAUUCGGUUAUAGUUUUUGCUAAAACAUAAUAUCUUGCUCUUUAAUUAUCUUUUAUACUUAAAAAUAUCUUAUUCUUCAGAUUCACAUCCAGAACUGUUUCCAUUAUCUUGGAACCAAUUGAUUUUGUAAAUCACUAUUCUACUAGUAAAAAAGUUUUCUUUACUGUAACUUCAUGCGAUCAUUAUUAUUGAUGUAUUUUCUUUCUUUACAGAGAUCAUGGAUAACUAUGGAAAUGCUUGGGACAUGACUGUCUUUCGCUAUGUUUUCCGUGAACUCCGUGUUCGUCGUGGUCUACAAACAAGAGUUGUUGUCCUUUCAGUGCAUUCUAGCUUUUAUAGUAGCUGGUAUGUUGCUUCUGCAGUUGUUCAUCAAGUUCUUGGGCAUCGAAAUUACCGCCUGGCAGAAGAUCAUCUAGGGCCCUAUGUAUUUGUUUCUGUUCGUUCAAUCGGAGACGUUCAGACUCUGCUUUCGUACCACUACCGCUUCCCUAAUGCAGAAAUAUGGCCCCAUCGUAUCCGUUUUCUUACCCUACGUGCCAAUGAUCCAGAGAUUGGUGGAGUUGUUGCAAUUCCAUUCAACUGAAAAGAAGAAUCAUCAUCAGACAAACCUAUUAAUAAGGUGAUGUGAUUUUAAAGUACUAGUUGCUUAAUUAAUGUUCUUUUAUCAGUUUUCAAUGUUACAACUAUACUGUUCUAAAUUAUAAUAUUGUUCUUAUAAGCACGUUUGAUGUUCGCCACUAUUAUUUGUUAUGUUCCCCCUCUAUUUAUCCAUGUUCCCAAUGUUUUUUUUAAUAAUUCAUACUUUAAUUUCUUGAAACUAGAACAUUAAACAAAACAAUUGAAUACUUCAUAAUAAAAAAUUAUCUUUCUAAACAUAUGUUUCGUCCAUAACAAAUUUCCAGUAAAUACCAGUUUUAUAUGCAACAAAAAAAUUUAAAAUUAUAUCUUGAACCACAGUUUUAUUCUUCUAUGCCAUUCACUAUUAAUCUCAUGAUAAUGAGUUUUUUUAAAAAAAUUUCUUCAACUGCUCAUCUCAAUCUUUAUUCUUUUACUCAAAAUUGAGCAAAUGUAUUUGCCAUUUCGUUACUAUACUUAGUUUUAUAUUCUCAAAUUGAUAUUUCUUCCUUUUAUGACAGAAUGAUCUUACCAUGAGAAGAAUGAAGUUGUCAUUGCGGAAUCGUGGCUCCGAUCAUUCAUUUAUCCUGUAUUAGAUGUUUAUGUCCUUGAAGAAGAAUGAAGUUCUAAAUAGAAAUAGUUAGUUAUUUAAAUAUCUUUCUGUUGUCCAGUGUAAUUGUGAGCUACUUAACUGGUCCCAUCAUAUGGUUCUAUUGUAGAAUAUCUAUGUUCUGACUCAGUAUUACUCAUGUUCUAUAUUCGAAGAUUUGAAUUCUACGAAUUGUAAUGUUUUGUUUGUCAAAAAUGAGUUCUAUUUCUAUUUAUUUUAUAUUUCUUGUAGUCUUAUAAUAAAUGAAACAUUAUUUUUUACAUACAUUCAGCAACAAUAAUUACUAACAUAUACUUUUGCGACAACUCCCUGUAUCACAAUCUCAUGUUAUGAAAUUACAAUAGUUUAUUCUAAUUUCACUCUCGUUGUAUAUUACAAAUAGAUACUCAGAACAUCAUUCUACUCUCUUUAGAACAAUGUAUUUGACAAUAUUGCCCUUACGUUAUGUUGUUCCGAACCAUUCAUUUGUCCACACCUCCACUAUAUUAGUAUACUCGUAUACGGCGGCGGCUAGGGACGCGGCUGCGCUGCGAGCAGCCACCGGAUUCCGGCAACGGGAUUCCUUCUACUCCGGCUGCGGCUUUACCUAGAGAAAGGUUAGAUUGGCAUUUCACGCGGAUUCUAUGCACUAUUUCGUGUUUCUAUACCGAAAGAUUAUAUCCAUGAAUUUAGGGUUUCUUUGUCCGCUAUUCCCCUGAUUCGUUUUACGGACAACAAAUUUAUGGUUUGUCACAUAAAUCUGAAAAUUUAUACCCAUGAAUCGCUAUUCUUGAUCUCUAUUUUUUAAUUGGCCUUUUUCUCUAUUUUUGAUUUAUCUGUAAUGCAUAAGAAGCGCCCAGUUCAAUCCUAUAUCCUUUAGAUCUCGUUCACUUCUUCUGCAAUGAUCGUAAUAAAGAAUUAUCACGCGAAUCAUUACUCAAUCUACAUAAGUUUUUCUAGACUCAAUUAUGUAUCAUAAAUUCCAUGACCUCAAUUAUUUAUACUUGGACAUGAGCAGCUUAUCAUGUUGAUGUCUAAUUCAAUUUUUUUUUGUACAAUUUCUUAGAUAUGGAUAUGGAUAUUCAUACCAAUCAUGGUGGAGUCAUAAUUCAGAAUCAUUUCUCCUCAUAUGUACUCAAUGAUGUUGUUAAUUCUCUAAGCAACAUUCAGAAACAUUAUAUUGAGAAACAUGGAUUUGCAAGUUUCUUGAGAAUCAACUCUUUUGAUGUCCCUCUUGGCCUUGUUCAAUGGAUAAUUCAGCAUACACAUGUUCCCUCUUUUCAGUUCCAACAUAUGAAGAAAAAAAUUCAGAUUACCACAUCUAUGGUCAAUUAUAUUUGUUCAACUCAAUGGUUUUUGGUUGUUGUCAACUUUGUUCGCAAAUGUUUUGAUGUUCUUGAGCCAAAUAAAAACAUAAAAGCCUCAGCCAAUAAAGUUCAGAAUGUUAUCAGAAACUUCAGGAUAUUUUUUGAAUCCAAUUUCCCUGAGAAUAUCAUUUACAAGAUUUAUGAGUUUGAUGUCAACUAUUUGAACAUCCCCAAGUGCAACUUUAGGUAAUCAUUAUGUACUCCUUUUUAUAUGUGUAAUGAAUUACAUUUUCUUAAUUUGACUUUUUUUUUAAACUUCAAAUAUUUUGAGUAUUUUGAAUUAUCUUUGAUGCAACAAACUGUAACACAAAGUAUAACAUUAAUCUCUUGUUUAAUAUAGGUAUGACUCAGGAAUCUUUGUUCUCCAGUUUAUGCAGACUUACAAUGGUACAACAAUUCAAAAAUUCUCUAAUGUAAGCAUAAAGAUUAUAAUUUCAUGUGUUUGUUUGUUUCUUUUUCCUGAGAUGAUAUUUUCUAAUAUAUUUUCCAUUAUAGGUUGAUGUCGUACCUCUACGUGCAAAAUUUCUAUUCCAGCUGGUUACAACUCCGCACAACAAGGCAAAUUCAGAAUUCAUGAAAAAGUUCUAUGAGGAAAAUGUUAGUCAAUUUCCAAUUCAACUUUAAUUCAAUUGUCAUGUUUUAGGACUAUCUGCAAUAUAACCAUUACAAUUUCUUCUUAUACAGGAACAAUUUUUCAGUGAUUUAAUCACUUAAAAGUUUCAAGAUACCCCACAAUUUUUCAGCGACUGAACAAUGUACUAUGGAGUAUAUACAUGAGCGGCUAUGUUAAUGUGCGCAGAUGUUUAAGCUUACAGAGUUCUCUUCUGGUCUGUUUUUGUUACCUUUCGGAAAGAAAUUGUGGUCUGGACUUGUUUCUAAGUCUGUAGAUAUUUUACACUAAGCGAGUACCACAAUUCAACUUUUUGAUAACAUGUUUAGAGCUACUUGUCAGUAUUAUGCAUCCUUUGGCGUCAUUCUUGUUUAAAUGUUGAUGCCUCAGUAAUCUUUAAAAUUACACCUGAUUUGUGAGUUGUUUUUACCGAAUCGUCAUGUUCCCAAAUGUUUCAAUGAUGUACAACAAAAAAUAUAAUAAUCAUUUGUCUAAGAAACUUAUGAAGACAUAUUUUUACGAAGACAUUUGAAGUAGCAUAUAAUAUUCAUUUUCAUUUAAUAUCAUUUUCGAAAUAGAAAACAGUCCAGAAAACAGUCAAAAAAAAACAGUCAAAAAAACAGUUCAAAAAAACAGUUAAAAAAACAGUCCAACAAAUAGUCUAUAAGGUCCAUUAAACAUACGGCCCGCAGCGGAAUUCGAGUGUUGUACGCGAGAGCAUCGUGCGCCAUCAGCCGCAAAAUUCUGGCGCCAGCGCCAUAGGCGCGCAGACUAAUGACGCGGGAAAAUUUUGGGCGGGAAUCUGCCGGACGGGUGAUUGCGUCCGAACGGCCGGACCGCAAGAGCCCCCGUGGAUCCUUGGGGCUUGGGGGUUCGUGAUCCAUACUCAACGACCAUAUAUUCUAGUGGAUUGUGCGCGCCCUGGCGCGCAAGAGUAAGGGAUAUAUUUUUUUAUCAAUGUUGAAGCAAAUAGUUAUGUACGCUGGAAAUAUUAGAUACUGUAUUGAUAUUAUCUAACAGUCAGGAGGUUGGUUAUAGUCUGAUUUACAAAUUUACAGUAUUGAUAGUCUGGUAGAUAUGAAGAACAUGGAAGGGUAAUAUAUGGAAGGGUAAUCUAUCCCUCCCUAAUAUUUAAAGAUGAAAAUUUGAGUCUGCCGGACGUUCUAUCCGUUCCAUCCGACAUGUCCAUAUAGAUAUAUAUAAUAUCUCUGUCCGUAAACUACCCCGCACAGGAGUUUCAAUCCCAACAGAAACAGAGAACGAAUUUGAGUCCAGCACGAGAGUUUCAAUCCCAACAGAAAACAAAGAACGAAUAAUAAAAAUGAGAAAAGAAGAAAGUGUAGUGCAGAUGUACAAAGCGGAGGGCCGCCAUGACGAGCGACGGGAACCAGAGGUCCGGGCUUAGGAGGUCGCUGAGGUGGAGCUGGUGGUGGCGCGCCUAGCGCGAGAGCAUCCAUGCGGCGUAGAGGAGGGCGGAGACGGCGGUGAAGGCAUGGAGGAAGGCGAGCAGCUUGAGGAGGAAGCCGAGGCAGCACGCAGGCCAGCCCAUGCUCAGGCUCCGGCUCCGGCCACUUUCUCUGCUCCGGCGACGCACCAUCGGAUCUGAUGCGGCGACAUCGGUGUCGCUACAAACUCCCCUCGCCGCUGUUACCCUAGCAGAGCAGCAGUAGAUCUGGAUUUCUCGUGUCUUGUCUUCGUUUGGAAGUGCACCUGGACGGGAUUGGAGGAGUGGCUGGGCAACGCAACGCGGAUGAGAUGAUGGAAUCGGGCGGCUGCUCUGCCUCUACCUACGCUUUGUUGUUGCUCGUCCUGGUCGGAACUGGGUGCGUUGACUUGGCGUUCUGCUCGUUCGAUUCCGGCCCGGCCCAUAAAUAAUCGAGCCCAGCGAGGAUCGGUGCAAUCAUCCAUCCGUAAGUCUCGCUCCGUACCUGAAGCAUUAUAAAAAAAAAUAAAAAAAAUAUCCCUGAAAUCUAUAAUCUAUAUCUAUGCCUAAUACUAAAGAGGUAAAAUUUUAGCUAAUUUUUUGGUCUGGUAUUUUUUUAGUCUGGCCUCUCUUGCUAAUCAUACCAUGUUUAGCUUAUGUACUCAUCUCGGACUCCACUUGACAAAAAAAAACAAAAGAUUUUGUUACUAAAUUUUUGAUGCAGUAUUGAUUACAAAAAAAUUAUUUUCAUUAAAACCAAAUCAAUCAAUAGUAUAUGAACUAAAUCUUGAUCAGUUUAUUGUAGUUUGUUGUCUAAUCCAGUCUAAAUAAAUGUAUUUCUGGAAUCAUCGAUGAUGACUGCCAUGUAAAAAAACAAGAGAGGUCUCUUGUCAUAAUCAUCAUCGCACAAACUAAUUCUUGAAACGUCGGCAAAUAACUCCUUGCAUACUAUAAUUAAACAUUUUAUGGGUCCUAAAAAAGUCACAGAGCUCAAUUGAUUUAGACACGUCGGCAAAUAGUCUAAUUUUUUGUGUCUUGGAACAUGACACCAAAAGAAUCACUCAAGGUUAUAUUUUAAUUUGAUACAAAUUUAAUAAAAUAUUUUUAUAUUAAUGACAACAUAAGUUAUAUUGUGGAUAUCAUAGUCAUUGUAAAAAUAAAUUAUAAAUAAGUUCUAUACAAAGGAUAAAUUAUAAAUAGAAAUUAUAUCAUUAUCAUGGUCCCUUCUCAUUAAGGUUUGAAAGUUUAAUUUUUCUCCCGUUGCAACGUACGGACAUGUUUUGCUAGUAUGAUACAAAAGUGUGAUAGUCUGGUAGAUAUGAAGAGCAUGGAAAUAUAAUAUGGUACAAAAGUAUUUCACGGUAGUGAGUUAAAAUAUCACAUAGUACAAGGUGAAGUCCCUAUCAGCUGGUUGAAAGCGUGGUGUCCAUCCUGGUUUGCCCUUUAGACAUCGUAUGUAUGUAUGUAUGAGCUUUAUUUUCUUUCCUUGCUUAGCCCGAGAUGGGAACUUGUUGUUCUCGUAACUCUGUUUCUGAGGCAAAAUUGUUUGAUUUUGCAAGCAAAAAAUUCAUAAAAUUGCACACAUAAAUGUUAGCAUAUGGGUUGCAUCAACUAACGGACACAAACGGUACGUAAAUCAAGUUUCGCAUAAGAGGCAUCACACAAUAACUUAACAUAAAUAAUAAAGAAAGCAAAGUGUCAUCAUAGUGGUGAGCGCGCAAAUCACCGUAGACUAAGCAGCAGUGGCACGAAGGUAGCGACACGCAGAAAGGAACGAAAAAUUACUCCAUCAGCAUCUGAGCAAAGCAAAGCAGAGGAAAUAGCUUUAAUCUCUACAAAUCGUGAAGGUAAAAUCUACAAUAUUUGUAAUAAAGCCACGAAACUACCAUAUCUACUUGGAAAACAAAUAUACCUAUAACGAAGCACAAAAUAUGUCAAGAAUAUACGAAAGUUGCUAAACAUAGCGUAGUCAAUGUUUAAGGAAACUGUAGCCCGUUGCCUAAAACAAUUCAUUAAAGAUAUAAUAACAUAAAUAAUGUAGUCUCCUCAAACAACAAGGAACGCAACCAGAUCUGCGGCCGACUAAGAAGCCAAUAUACAGUUUGCGCAGCCAAACACCAGUAAAUACGAGAAGGAUCAGCAAACCCUAGACAGAUCAUAAACAACCAAUGCAAUAGGAAUGGAAAUAGGAAGAGAACAUACAAACCAAGAAGCACAGUCGAUGAGAGGAGGCGACAGAGACGAGGAACAUAGCAGCACAGUACUGGCGGUGGAAACAGAGUGGCAAAUGACACAGAAGCACAUAGACAGGGCCCAGGGCCGUCUUAGAGGGGAGGACAACAGGUGCGACGGCCGGGGGCCCAUGAAUAUAUAUCUAUAUAUAUAAUACUUAUAAUAUAUAUUUGGAAUACUGAAAUGGAACUUUACAUGUUCAUACACUUAGCACAAGUCUUGAAAAUAAGAAAUUAGCUUGUCAUGACUUCCUAUUCAGAUAUUUAGCUAUUCAUGAUCGCCGAUCAAUCCUGAUCAAUUGACCAUUUUCACCUUCCAAUUGCCAAAUACGGUGAUAUCGCUUUGUGCGGCGAGACAUUGUGAAGCCACGACACGCGACACCACUCAUUCACACACGAUGAGAGACAGGCCUAGCAUCUCCAAGAGUUUGGUAAAAUUAACUUUCUAAAUCUUCAGUUUUAGCAAGUUGCUAAUUGAUUUGGCAAGUGAAAAAAAGUGUUCUCUCCAACAGUUUUGUAUUCUAACUUGGUAAAAUUUAUAAAAAUAGCACCUGGUCGGCAGCAGCACCUGGUCAGCACCAGCUUGACGCAUUGAUUUGCCGUCCACCACCAACACCACCAACAGCAGCAGCACUUGGACACAACAGAAUCCCAACAGGAUCAUGCACGUUGCCAUAAACAGGAACAUGCACAUAGUGCAAAAAAAAACCCAACACGCUGGAUAAUUCUCAUUCAUAAACUCAAGCAGCCAAACCCUAGGUUGGGCAAGAUGCUCGGUGGCCUGUACGGCGACCUCCCGCCGGCGACGAAGACAAGGCCUCCACGGCCUCCGUUUGGUCCAGCGCCACCAAGAUGGCGCCUCCCACCCUCCGCAAGCCGUCCACCACCUUCGCCCCACCCCCAUCUAUUCUCCGGAACCAGCACCUGCGCCCGCCCAAAGCCACCUCCACCUCCGCCCCCGCUCCUCCCGUCGUUGCCGCCGAACCCGCCCCGGCCACCUCCUUCCAGCCUGCGUUCGUCGCCGUCCAGUCCACCGUGCUGGAGGAGUACGACCCUGCCCGGCCCAACAACUACGAGGGCUACCGUAAGGACAAGCUCCGGCGAGAACGUACCUGAAAAGACGACGGCGAGGGAGAGAUCAGAGGAGACGACGCCGAUGGGAAGAGGAGACGAGACGUCGAAGGAAGAGAAUACGAGGCGAGAAUACGACGUGGAUCGCGAUUCGCAGUCGAAGCCGCGCGCGGAUAUAUCCGCGUGCGAGACCUAGCAAGUUGGGAAAUAUAGCAAGUGUAUUUGAGGAACUGUCGGAGAAGAAUUUUUAUGGAUUUGUCAAAUUUAUAAAGAUAGCAAGUUAUUUGAGGAGUUGUUGGAGAUGCCCUCAAACCUAUGUUGCAAGUUAAUUUUUAUUAUUAGUGCUUAUGUUUUAAUCGCCGUAUUAAAAAAUUACAUUUUACUAUCUUACUUGCUCAAGGGUCUUUAAAAUUAUUGAGACGGCUCUGACAGGGCCGGCAAGAUUAAUAGGAACGAGGCACGGACUGCAGGCCACAGCACGGCGGAGAAAAGAGCGGAUGAAGCAAGGGCGGCGUACGGCACAACAGAAGACGCCGCUAGGGAAGGAGCACCGGCACACGCUGAGCAGGCCGCGCUCGUAGGCAGCGAACCACAACAGGAACAACACGGGACUUGAGAGAACGAAGGCAGCGACGCAAUGAGGGAAGAUGGUGGAGCAGGCGCCGCAGCGGAAAGGAAGCGGAUGACUCCGAGAGAGAUGAGAAAGGAAGGAGAAAGUAAGCGGUGGCAGUUUUUUUUGUUUUGGUACUUUCUUUGACCACCGAGAUGCUGGAAGGAUAUAGAAGAGGCCCUUUCUUUUUUUCCCUUAUUAUUAUCCGGAGCAGAGUACACAGCGGGCAACACAAAAUAUAAGAAAAGUAAUACGCACAGGAUGCAAGUGGACACGUGUGCCAAUCAAACAUUUCUGGUGACGUGUCCCAUCUACUUUGCGCCCUUCAACCUGGCCAAUCUUCUAGUUCAGCGUGAUUCCACACUGAGAUUGAGAGCAAAGCAUUCCAGUCGGUCAUCUCAUGGGCGCGGUGGGCCUUUACAAAAUGCUGCUGGGCGAUAAAUUAUAAAAUCAAAAAUCAAAUUUUUGUUGAACUUUAAAUAUAGUUUGUAUGGUCUAGUUAUGAUGAAAAUUUUAUGAUAGGCUAAUUAUUGUAUGAUUAAACUGUAAUAAUUUUUUUUACUUAUUGUAUCAUGUAUAGGUAUAGCUUAGUUAUUGAUUUAUUCUUAUUUAAUAAGCAUAAACCUAAAUAAAAUAUAUAACUAAGUUAUAUAUGAUAGUAUAAAAUUUUUAUUAUAGUUUAAGCAUGUACUACCUCCAGGCAGGUUUCAUACCAGGACGAGAUAAAGGGAGUCACGGGAGGUGGGGUACCGCCAUUAAGAGGGAGAUAAAGGGAGGCAUGGGCGAGAUGCAAGAUGUCGCUGUCGAGAGGAAGACAUGCCGAAGAGAUACGUCGGGACUUGGGAGGGAGUGAAAUUAGAAAUAGAAGUUUGGUUAUCAUAUUUAUAUAUGGGUUGUGACUGAAGCCAAUGGCUGUGGUUUAUUUGAUGACAUCAAGUGGCUAAAAUGUAUCAGGCCACAUCGUAUUGGCCCAUUAACCGUGUCGUACCUACGGGCCGACAUAGAGACCCAAGCACCACACUACGUUUGGGCCGUGUUCCUAGAAAAAAAAAAUCACCUUGGUCAUUGUCCGAAAGCAAUUAGCAGUGCUGAUUGCAGCAGCUGCGGCAGCACUACCAAGCAGGCCUAUUAAUGUUUUUUCUUCUGAUAACAUUAAUAAAAAAAUAUAAUUAGUACAACCUAGUCAGCUAGGCCACCAAUCGUUAUGAUUUGUUAUUAUAAUGAAGAAAUAUAGAGCUAGAGAUACAGCCAGCAACAAGGGGUCUAAGAAGACCAGUAAGCCUCUAGACUGAGGCUGACUCUAUGCCCCAUUUGUUUCCCCUUAAAAUCGAAUUCUAAAAUAAAUAGAAAAUCUCACAAAACAUUAUUCUACUGACUGUUGUUUAAGAAAUUUAAACUAGCAAGAUUGAGAAUCAUAAAACCCCCCGCGAUAUACAACGAUUAAAAUAUGAUAUGAGCGGAGGAUAGAGAGAGAAUCAAAGGCAGAUGUGGUCGUGGAAGAGCAGUAGAGGAUUUGACCAUUGCCGCCGCCUUCUGUUCAGACAGCCAAAACUGGCCAUGGCCCAUAGCCCAUAGGUCAAUACCAUGGCACACAUCUACACCGUUGGGCUUUUCUCAAAAAAAAGCAAUCUACAGAGUUGGGCUACCUGAUAUAUGGGCUGUGGGCUGUGCCAACUUCACGGUGGCUUUUGAGUUUUGACAUGGAGAUGGACUACAUCUUCUUCUUAAAAAUAAAGAUGGACUUAGAAGGAGCAGGAGCA
rnacentral:lncRNA from 1 species